UUUUUUUUUUUUUUUUAAUCUUUCACAUUUUAGUCUAGUUAAGGUUAAAUUUAUCGGGAUUUACUACAUUAGGCCGUUCUUCUAUUUUCUAAUAUAAUUUUUUAAUCUUCUCAUUCAACUUUGAUAUGAUGGUUCUUAAUAGAAAAUAAAAAUCAAAACUCCAACCGAAAAUUUUUAUGAUAUCUCUUCAAUGGAAAAAUGGACGAAUAUGCACGAAUAGCUGAGGUGACAGUUUCACUCCAAAUCAACUCGGCUUCGAAAAGAAUGCCCGAUUAGAUUUUAAUCAUUUAAAUUUAUUUGAAAUAUAAAUUGAAAUAAGAUAUUUAGCACAAGUGUAUAAACUAUUUUAAAUAAAAAUGAGUUUUUUUUCACUUUAUAAGUAAAAUUAUGUUUUCUUUUUUGGACCACUAAUUAAAAGUAAUAUAUAAAAUUUACCUCUUAUCAUUUUUCAUAGUCUUAUUAACUAUAAAUAUUUAUUACUUAUUUAAGAUUAAAAUUGUCAUAUAUAACUAUACACAAUUAUAAAAAUCCUCAAUGCGUUUCUUUAAUUCAAUUAGUAAAAUAUGUAUAAAAAAAUUUACUCGUUUUCAUUCAGAAAGGGUUUGAAAUAUUCAGAAAGGGAAAGGUCAAUACCUACAAGCUAGUUAGUAACUCCACGAAACAUUUUAUUUUUAGUGAAGAACGUGAACAUACUUGAAACCAAAACCAUUUUCCUUUCCUUUUUUUUCAUUUUUUUUAAAAAGUAAGUUGUUUAGAAAUUGAAGAAUGAUGAACAAACCACGCUGCAGAAGAAGCUCUACUUUGGUUCUUCUCUGGAUCAUCGUUUUUUGGCACCAAAUAUUAUCAGUAGUUUGCGAAAGAGUGCAGCAGCAGUUCAACAAUGAAGAUCAGAAACUAUCUUUCUUUCAAUUAUUAUCAACCUCCAUUGAUUUGUUCAAGAGAUCUCAUCUAUCUUUUUGGCAAAACUUCAAAUCCGUUAUCUAUCAAUUCCAGUUGCACUUCGCCCCUCCAAAUCUUGAGUAAGAUUCCCUUCUCUUUAAUAUUUUAUUUUUAUUCUCACAGCGAGUUUGAAUUUACAUAAAUAUUUUUAGAUUCAAAUCAUAUUACUAGAAUCGAGUGUUACUAUCAGAAUUUGAAUUAAAUAAUAUUAGUUAUUGAAUAUUUGUAUAUGUUAAAUAUUCAAAUUUAAUAUCCACAAAUAAAAUUGAUUUGUAUAGUGAAUUCAAAUAAUAGAUAUCUAAAUUUAUAUUUAUAUUUAUAUUUAUUUUAAAUUUGUUGCGUAUAAAUAUUAUAACAUGUAAAUUCAUUUAUUUUCUGAAUUUACAUUAUUUAACAUGAUUAGUACAAAAUUUGGAUUGAACCUAUGAGUUAAAUUGAGAAUCAAAACAUGUAAAUUUUAUUUUUAAUAUUUAAUAUUUUUAUUACAUUUUUGUCACAAUUUGAACACUAUUUAUUCCAUUAAUAAUAAUGCAUUUUAUCUCUUAGUUCAAUAUUAGUUUUUUUUUAUAAAUAUUAGAAUUUACUUUAAAUAUAUUUAAAUUUUAAUAAAUGUUGAUCAAACACGAAACCAAAAAAAUAUUACCAGAUUUGGAUUCAACUUUACAUUCACCAUUUAACAUAGCCAUCUUUUUAAUUAUUUUUUUUAUGAUAUUGUGUGUUUUUAAAUGAUUAUUUUAUCGAUUGUGAUGGGCAGUUUUAGAAGGAGGGACACAAUAGAAGGAAAGGAAUCAGAGAGUGUGCGAGAAAAUAUGAAAGAAGCAGUGAAGAAGAGCAUUAGAACAGGAGAAGCAGCACUUAAAGGAACUGCGAAAUCAGCUGCAAAAGUUGUUCAAAAGACUGCUGAUAAGGUCAAGAAGAAAAAGAACACAGUCUCUCAAUCUCAUGAUGAGCUUUAGAUUUUUACACGCAUUUUCACUGUUAGUAAAAAGCUUUUAUGAUAUUUUUACAGGUAAAAAAAAAUCCAAAAAAGGAAAAAACUAAAAAUUUUGUUUUUUCGACUCCAAAACAUACUUCUAAUUAAAAUUCAUUUUAGAAAUUUAAACUCAAAGAAGAACUUUAGAGAAAAUAGCUUUUACUUUUAUUAUUUAAAACAUUUUUUUGUUAAAAUUUCAAUUUAUCUUCCCUACCAUAUAGUAAAGUAAUUUAGGUGAGUUUAUCGUUUUUAAGUAAAUUAUAAUUUUUGUUAAGUGAAUUUCUUAAUAAUAAACACUCUUUCUCUAUCUUUGAUGGAACAUGCAUUCUUGAUUCCCUUGUCAAUCCCUUUGUCAUCUUAUAAAAUAUCAAAUUCAAGAUCAAGAUUCAUGAUUCAUGAUUUAUUCAUCUUGAUUUGAUUCAAUAUUAUAGUCCAACUCGACUCCAUUCAAAUAUGCUCCUAAAUCGAACUCAUCACUCUAACCCGAACUCAAAGCCCUCACAAGAAAAGUUAGGAUUCGAACACUUAACCCAACCAUAAGCUCUAAAAAGUCGAAUGAAAUUUGCCCAAUAGUUUAUUAUCACAUCAAGCUACUGGAGAAUGUAGGACAAUCUCAAGUAUAAGUUCUUCAAAACGAAUCGAAUUGACCGAAAUAUCCAUGAAAAACCGAAUUAACUGAACCAAACUUAGUAUGUUUUCUUAGGUAUUUUAGUUUUCUCACUGACAUUAGGUUGGGUUUGAAAACUUUAAUUGAAUAUGGAUACGUUUAAAUAUAAAAAAUAAUAUAAUUUAUUCAUUUCUUUAAAAUUAAAUGUUGUUUUAUUCUAUUGAUUUGGUUUGAAAAAAAACUCACAAAUCAACCAAAUAAACACAUUAAAACUGAACUAUCUAUCUGAACAAAAUCAAAACCAACCAACUUGAUCAGUUUCGAUCUGUUCGACCUGUUUGUUUGGUAAUCGAUGUUUUGCUCACCCCUAUCAAUGAGUGAGCAUAAUUUUCAUUUCCAAUUGCAAAUAAGCAUUGAAGAGUCAUUGACAACAUUAUGCAUGGCGAGGCAAAACCUGAUAUUCGGAUAUGUGUCAAACAUGAGCAUCAGAUAAAGUCGAAGCGACAUAGAUUAUGAGAGAAAAGUAGAAUGUAGUGUCCUAAACAUAAGGUAAUCGAAGCUGCACUAAGGAGAAUGAGAUGCAGAUAACCUAAGGCAUUCACUUUGACACCUUCUAAGGCAAAUAUCAUUCCAGUUAGGUACCUGAUGUUGGUUGACACAAACGGUACGAGCGCAAGCAUCGGAGCAAGCGUCGAGCUCAGACACACCGCAAACAGUUACACAAGUGUCAGGGAUCGGAUCCUUUGAAAAUGCCCCAACCUUUUUCAACAUUCUCUUCGACGUGCAGACUCUCUCACAAAUGAAAAUGUCAUCCGAGCUCUACUCCCUUCCCCUGGCACUCUUAAGUCUCUGUUCUUCGGCAUGCUUUUUCCUCAAUCUAAAAACUUGCCCUGCGAUAACUGCCGGGAUAGCAGUCCCGAGAAGGGUCCACCACACAUCCGCCAUCCCAAAUUUCACAAGCCGGAUUUCUGUUUCCCUACUUAGUUUUCUGCACUCUAGAAAAAUAGGAAAACUAAAUACAUGAACAACCUUUAUUCACUCCUCAACUCCACAUCUAGCAGAUAUACUAAAUUUAGCUAAAUUCAACUUCACUUUUAACGCAUAAUUAAACAUUCAAGUGGCCAAAGUAAUCAAAACUAUGAAUUAUAACAAGAAAUUUAUGUUGCUCGACUUCUUGUAUAAGUAUUAUAUACGGAUAUGGUUAGAUUUUUUUAGAAGUUUUCUCCAAUUUAUUUUGAAGAAAAUUCGAGAUUAUAUCACAAAUAUUUCAAUAAGAAAAAAUCAAAGCAACAUAACAACUAGCAAGAAACAACCUACAAAAAAGGACAUUUAAAGAUAAAUAAAUGACAAUUACUUACGGCCAGCAGUUUGAUGUAAGCCUAAACCCUAAACCAUGAAAAAAUCGGUUUAAUAGAUAAAACACCAGAAAUCUGGUGACAGAUCAGUUAAUAUAUAUUUCAAAAAUUGAUGAAAUUUGAUCAUUUUUAAGUUAAAAAUCGGAAAUUGAAUGAGGAAGAAAAACAGAAAAGAGAAAUACGUAUUCCGAGUUACAGAUCAAAUCACAAAUAACAUAGACAAAAUGACGCUGUUAGUUCUACAGGUUUAAUUUCUAUAAAAAGAAAGAAAAAAAAGAGCGGAAAGUAAACUUUUUUAUUUUUAUUUUUAUGUUAGGUUUUAGAUUUGGGGCUGACCUUUGGAGCUAUGCUUUCGCUUUCCACUUCGGAAAUGCUUGUUUUUAGUGUUUUCUUAAUAUUUAUUUAUUUAUUCUUUCAUUCAUCAGCAUUUAUUAUUAUUGCUGUUACUGUUAUUACUCAAAUGUUCAAACAAACGAGUGAAUUGUUUUAAUUUUUUCUUAGAAAUAAAUAAUAUUUUAAAAUUUUGAGUAUUUUUUAAGUUAAAAAAUGCGGAUUCUUAUUAAGUUAACUAUUAAGUGAAAAAAUUUGAACAAUUUAACAGUGCAAAUUGACUCAUUACAUUAAUUUAAUAAAAAAUUUAUAAUAAUUAAUAGAUUAUAGCAUAUCACAAUGUAAGCUUUAAUUUUAAUUUUUUUACAAAAGGAGUACAAAUUGUGAAAAAAAAUGCAAACAACACUUUUUUAACAGUGCAAUAUUUUAAAAAGUUAUACAUGUAAGCUUUAAUUAAUUUUUUAGGAAGUUUUUUUUAUUUGAUCUAAUUCCAGAUUUUUUAACCAAGUUUUAUUUUUCUUUUACCUAUCUUUAGGCUAUUUUUUAGUGUCAUAAUAUAUAUAUAUAUAUAUAUAUAUAUAUAUAUAUAGUGUUAUAGUACUAACACAAUGAUUAAAAUUCGUACUGAUGAUUAAGCGAGAAGGAUUGAAGAUUAUGCAGGCGUUCCUUUCUCUGCUCAAUUAUGAACUUAUUAUGAGUAUCUAUUAUUAUGAUCAUUUUUUAAAAAUUUAAAUUAAUUGAACUAAAAUUCGAAUUUUACAUAUUUAACUAUUUAUCUCCAACCCAAAAUGAAACAAGGCGUAAAAUAAAGAAAAAAAAAGGUUUGAUUGAAAUGCAUCACCUAUAUUUUGGCUUUGGGGUAAACAAUUAAUAAUUAUACAACCAGUAAAACUGUAAAAAAAAAACCCAAAAACGGAGGGCGUGUGAAACAAAAAUGAUCUUUUGGGGGAGGCCUGGGGAUAUAAAAGAAUCGGCAUGCCAGAUAUACAAGCAUAAAGGUAAAAAAAUUAUGGAGGAAAGCAUAAUAUGGCCAACACACAAUAUUUUAAUCUCCCAGCAAUAGUGAUUGUCUUGUAGCAAACACCGGAAACGAUAUUACAUCAGACAUUAAUAUCCGCACGCUUCGAUCUGGUGCUGCUGUUGAUUUCUUGGGAACCGGUAAAGGAGAACCGUGGGAUGCUGUAAUUCUCAGUCACUGAAACCGGCUGUUGGGGGUAAAGCGUGGGAGGUGGAGUAAGGUUGCGCUGUGCAGGUAAGGGAGGAAGCAUGUUGUACUUGUAAGGGUCACCACUCAAACUGCAAACAACCGGAGCAAACAACAGAAUUUUCAUCUGCAAACUAGGGGAAGGAUGGAGAGAAGAAUGAUGGUGACAGCCAGACUUACCUUGUACGCCUGUACAACUGAUGAUCAUCAUCGGAAUUUUCAUCCAGACAUUGAGAAGUCCUCAGAGCAGGAGAUAUGGACCAUGUAUUCGGGGUCGAUAAAUCAUCUGAAAAAUACCGUCUCUUGAUCAACUGAAACAAGUACCGUAUAAGUUUAACAACAGUAAACCCCCAAGAAAAUAAGAGCUAGAACGCGACACAAAAUAAGAAAAGAGGACGAUAAUACCAUACGAAAAAAUUUCAUUAAACCUUCCUUGUCAUAUCUUGCUUCUUUGGCAGCCUGUAGACAUUGAGCAAAGUGUUAGACAUCUUCGGUUACCGAAAGCCAAAACUAACAUCGUUAAAUCAGGUUUGACAGGCUAGUCAAGAAUAUCAGACCUUUACCAACCCCAAUGUUUCACUAAUGUUUUAGACAGUGAAUUGUGAUUGAUUUAAAGGUUAACUAGCAAAGGUGCCAUCUUAUACCUUUUCGGGCAAAAAACAACUUCGUGAAGUAAAAUAUCUUCCGUAAAAGAGAAUUUCCAUGAAAAGAAUUUGGACUCGAGAACAAAAUUUUAUUUGUGUUUCUUAUACAAAGAAAACAAAAAGAAAAUUAACAAAAAAGCACAAAAGAUAAUUUAAUGUAUCAUUUCCCAUACUUCAAACCAAAAUGUUGUCCACAGGGUUCUAACCUUAUUGAACUGAAGUGUACCAUUUCCCGUAUUUUAAAUUUAAAACCAAUAUGUUGUCAACAGAGUUCUAAUUCUAAUCUUAUUGCAAGUACAACUCUACAUUAAAAUAGAUCAAUUCAACGAAACACCAAGUUUCCCCCACAAAUAUCUGCAAAUAUAUAAAAGAGAACAAAAUAUGAAAUUAUUACUCUAACCGGCAUAUAAGCAAGUCAAUGCGAAAGUUAAAAUGCUUACAGCAAUAAGGCUGCCACUACCAGGAAAACUCUCGGUCAAUGGAAGUUCCUCACUAGGUGGAAGCAAACCCUGCUUCUCAACCCACUGACGAGCUACAUCAACCAGAUUGCCACUGCUACCUCUUGUACCCUCUUUAGCAGCUAUAUCAGCUUUGUUACCAAUAACAAUAUAUGGGACAGGAAGUCCCCCGGGGCCUCCAGAGCUUAGAGGAGCCGAAAAUGUCCCAGUUGUUGCAAUCUCAGAUGCCCACUGCUGCAAGCUUGUUUUUGUUCUCCUUUGGGAAAGAUCGUGUACAAAAAUAACACCUGCACAAAAAAUUAAUGGUGGAACCGUGAGAGAAAAUUACAGGUCACAGAGUCUGCAGUAAUUACAAAAGGCUAUAAUGGGAAGCUGAAGCAUUACAAGACUUACAAACUAAGGUUUAGAAAAUUCCCGUACCAACAAUUAUCAUGAACUUAAGAUAUUUGCUCAAGAAAAGAGACUUAAGAACUCACCAUUAAUUUGUGAAUAGAAAAGAGAUCGGCAAUCUUUGUAUCGCUCGUGUCCCGACACGUCCCAAAGUUCAAUGAAGAAAUCUCUCUCAGCAUCCCCUUUCAAGCUACUUGACGAGCUACCAGGGCUACCAUAUUUGGUAUGCUGUGUAGAGAUUGUAGUGGCUAAUUGGUAAAUGAACUCGAACAAUAACUUUAUUCGAGGCAACAAAGGAGUACUAAAUCUUACCUUCACACCAACUGUACACCCAAUGGUUUGAGGAGGACAAGCAGUGGAAAAACCUUUGACAAUCAGAUGAACAAGAGAAGUUUUCCCCACACCUGACAAAAAAGACUAAGAUUUCAAGCAAAAAAUCGGCAUCUAAUAGAACAUUGAAAAGAAAAACAUAUUAUAUAUUUAAGCAUGAAUAGUAAACAAAUUAGAACAUCAGAUCAAGAGUCUGCAUACUUAUCAAUAAUGGCACAACACGGUGUCGGAAACUCUCGGGCAGUCGAAAACAAAUUAAUAUAACAUCCAAAGGAAAUAGCAUAGGAACAUGAAAGCAGUGAAUCAUUUUAAAGGUUUGCUCUCCUAGUACAGAAAGCAAUAAAACAGCCAUCAACAAACUACUGAAGAACAUCAAAUAAGGCCACUCAAUGUGUAAUCUUAGAUCAAAUAUUGAGGGUGGGAUAAUGUAUGGGUAGAGAUCUUGAUGUGCAAACAAAAGCAUUUGUUACUUCAAUUAUAAUAAUUUUAUAGCAUACAAACUCAGCAGACACCCUAAACAGCUACUCUGUAUAGAAAAACAUAAAGCAACAAGCAGAAAAAUUUGCAAAGGCAAACACAGUAUAUGAACACAAAAGUUCACUGAUUAAUAAAAAGAAGUAAAAUUCGAUACCUGAAUCACCAACAACAAGAACUCUGACUUGCCCACAAGGAGGUCCUCCAUUAAACUCUUUGAAUUCCCUUUCACGUUCCCUCCGAAACAUUUUUUUUUUCUGUUUUUUUUUUUUCUGUUACCACCGAAAAAGAAAAAACCUAGCCCAACUCAACUCUAGAAGCGAUGGCAACACUAAUAAAAUCCCAUAAAAAAAGGCACAAAUUCAAAGGAGAGGAACAAUUUCUUGAAAUGGGUACCCAAUAUUUCGAACUAACAUCCAUCUCAGACCAAAAUCCACCCAAGAUCUACACCCGAAUCCAGGAUCACGAAACUCAUCAUUCUGAAUCAAAUUGGAUCUAACAAAAUAGACCUUCUUUGAAUGGGUAUAUUUUAAAUCGAGAGACAAUAAGUGGAUUUCUCUUUAAAUUUCAGUUUAGAGCUUCCAAAUCUCAGUUGAUUAAACUGGGGUUUAAAACUAUAUUUUCUAAAAUAAAAAAUAUAAAUCGUUGAUUUUAGGGGGUUUAUAGGAUGGUUAGAAAGAUAAAACAAAAGUAAUUAGCUAAAGUAGGGAUCCAGAAUUGAUUUUCGGAGGGAUUGAUUUUAACUUCUAUUUCAUGUGUUUGAUACGGAUCGAUUAAACAGAGAAACUUGAAGCAGGAACGUUCAUUUCACGCGCUAGAAUGCGCUUCGUAUUUACGAGAUAUGUCGAUUUCUCUUUUUCUUUUUUUCUCGUAUUAAAAUUUGUUAAUUAUUAUGAAUUUUAUUGAUUGAAUCUUAUUGAUUGAAUCUUAUUGAUUGAAUCAUAACUCAAUUAACAUUGUUAUGAAAGAUGUAGAUUCGAUUACGUUGAAAUAUAAUAUUAUUGUAUUUAAAGGUUGGAGAGGAACCAUGAAUAAUUCUAAAUAUUUUAUAAAAAAAAUAUGAUAAUAAUAUAUAAUGAAAUUAUGUUUAAAAAAACAAUAAAAUUAAUGAUCAAAUCAAUCAAACUAUUGAUUUUUAAUUGUACUCCAAACUAGAAUAAAAGCGCUUGCUUCAUUAAAAUUUUCAAUUAGUAUUUGAAUAACUACUAAAUUGUCGCAUUUCAUAACAACCUUCCAAUAGCAAUAAUUAGGGAUGUUCAAAUGGUUAAUUAAACCGAAUUAGUAUUAACCGAAUUAAUUAAUUUUUUUAAUCUUUUAACCGUUAACUCAAUCGAAAUUUUUUCAAAAAAAUUUAACCAAACUGGAAUAUUUCGAUUAAUUUAGUCGGUUAACCGAAUUAACCGAAAUUUAUCCUUUUUUUUGUUAAAAAAAGUAGUAAAACAUAUCAAAAAAAAACUUUAAAAUGUUCAUUUGAUCGAAUUAAUUAAAUUAACGGAACUAGUAAUAGUCUAAUACAUAUAAUAUAUAAUAUGAUUUAUUAAGUUCGGUUAAUUUGGUUAAUUACCUUAUUUCAAACUAAAUUAACCAUUAAUCAAAAUUCCAAAAAAAUCUUUAACUGACCUCCGAUCUAAUUAGAUCGGUUAAUUCAGUUUUAAUCAAAGUUUGAACACCCCUACCAGCAAUUCCAAGCUAAAAGUUAAACCACUGAAAGUACCUCAAAGCUCCGCUUGUAUCAUUAUGCAUAUAUGAGCACUCCUAUUGCAUCCCUACACACAUCUGCCCUGACAAUCUCUUAAAAUUCAUCAUACUCACUCCAUUGUGGUACUUAUAUUCAUAUUCCUAUUUGUGUUAAGUUUGGCCCUGUUUUCAUUGGAUGGUUGCUCCAUCAACAUCGUUACACAAUGAUCAUUUUACUUUUUGAUUUAAUAUAUAAAGAUUAAUUUGUCCAUCUUUUUAGUGAAUAGGACAAAAUGCAACUCGACUCCUAAUUUAGGGCCCUCCGUAAUAUUUUUACUUAAUCCUACUCUUUUUUAAUUCCACUUCACUAGCAUAAAAAAAUUUAAAAAGUCAAAUCAUCACCUUAACAACAAGAUAGAUGAAAUUUUUAAUAUAAUGACUAAUUUUCAUUUUUUUCUUAUUAUAUAAUGAUUAAAUUACCAUUUUUACUAUAAAUGAUGAAAUACAAUCAGACUUUUACUAUAAAGAUGGAUAAUACUUUAAACUCCUUUUACUUAUUUUCUUUCUAAUUACAGCUCAAGUUUACGAAAAGUUGAACUUUGUAGCUCCAAAAGUGUAUGUUUCUUUCUUAAGAAGAACCUAUACAAAGCUGAGAUAGAAUGUAAAAUUAUUAAAGAACCAUCAACUUCAUUUUAAAGAAACCCAGAUUUUGAAAUUGCAUCAUAUAAGUCUGCUAGCAAAAUUUUCUCACUGAACUGCAAGUUAAGAUUAUACCUAAGCAUUUUAUAUUGCAGAUGGUUUUUUAUAUAUUUAAUAAAUUAAAUAUGGAUAGGUUCGACUUGAAAUUUUUUUAAUUCUAUUCCAGCUAAGCUUAAGUAAAAAAAUUAUAUUUUAAAUGAAUGUGAAAGAAAAAAUAAAUAAAUAAAAGAUAUUUGUCUAAACCCAACCCAAAACCAGUUCAUAAACAGCUUGAGAUUAAAUUACUUUAAAAAGUAAAGCUUUUCCAUCAAAUUAUUGUUUUACCGUAUAUUAAGAUAAUUUUUUUUUAAAAAAAAUUCACUUUUAUAAACAAAAAUUGGGUUUUCAUUGAAAUAAUGAGGAAACUAAAUUUUCGAAAUAUUUAUUUAGUAGUUCUUUGACACUUAUAAAUAUUGAACUUUUUUUUGUUAUUUAUAAGAGUUAGGGUAAAAUCUAUUCUCCAAUUAGUUUAUGGUAAUAAAAUGACGAGGCUAUGAUUACAUCAUUGGAUGAUGAGAUCCUUCUAAAUAAUUUUCAAGAUUUCCUCUCGAAUAUUGUAUGAGUUGUUAAUUUUAUUGGAUUUUUUAUUAUUAAGAAUGGUUUAAACUAUUAGCAUUGUUUGUAAUGCUAAAAAUUUAAUAUUUGAUAAUCUUUAGUGAGAGUAUGUUGAAUUGAUUUAUAGUCCAAAUCUAUUUGAAUAGAUAUAUUAUUUUGAUUAUUAUCUUUAAUCGAAAGCUCGAUAUUUUGAAUUUUAAUAUUUUAUUGGAGAACAUGAAAAUGAGGUUUUUUUAGUAAAAUCCGAGAUGGAUACUCAAUUUGAAGUAUAAAUUUCUAAGGUCUAAUAGAAUAGGGUGUAAGUAUUGUUGAAUAGAUCUCAAUGGUGAUGAAGAUGUUGAAACGAUAGUAUUUGAACAUCAAGAAAGUGACAAUUUUGCAGUGGAGCUCAAAGAUAUUCCCAAUACUAUGUUAGUUUUUAGUGUCCUUAGUGCAGUGAUUUCGUCAUUUUAGUUGUAAUUUCGAACUAAUUGAUUAAAUAAAAUUUCAUAAUUAAUUUGUUAUAUCUUCGUAUGUUUGUCCUUGACAAUUUUUGCAUGAAUUAGAAAACAUUAGUUCAUUGAUUACCUAAAGUUUAACUAAUAUUAAGUUGCAUCAUAUGAAAAUGAUUAUGAUGUGUGAACACAACUUAUAUUAGUAGGUGUCUGUGGUCCAAAAUGUAACACUCCUUACUUGACUUUAUCGUCGGUUUCGAGCAACAGAGUGCUACAUUUGUUGCCGGAGCAACUACUGACAAUUUCACAGCAAAAACAUCAUUUCGCUUCAGCAAUCAUGCAAUCGAUCAAUAAUACAAUAUAGAACAACAUGGACUUUCUUUUUCAGGUCUUAUACGAGCAUACGAAUGCUUUAGAGUCAACCCGAGAUCAAAUAAAUACCUUUUUGCAACACUUUUAAAAUUUCAUAUAAAUAUUUUAUAAAUAAAUAAUUCAAAUAUUCAAUCAAACUAUAAACACCUAUGUAUUAUGAUACACAAUUAAAUAUGAGUCUUAAUCGAGUUUACGAAUGCUCUUUUAUUGACCCAAGCGUGAAAUAAGACUAAAUUAUAAAGUUUUGAAAAUUCAAGGCUGACGUUACAAUGUCACCUCCUUCACGUCAUGGUGUCGCCAAAUAGUUUGUCACAUCACGACGUCAAGCCACCCGACAUCACAAUGUCACCUACUAUCCGGCUGACAUUGCAACGAGAAAAUGUAGUCAUCGGGACAAGGACUUUAUUUUUGGCAAAAAUCAAGCCAUUUUGUACCUAUUUCAAGACAACUAUACCAUUAACCCAUUUGGUGCAUAAAUGCACCUUAAUUUCCUGCACCAUACCAAUCAAAUUACAUACCAAUACAUUAAUCUAUCCAUUUUCAAACCAAUAUUGCCUCAAAUUGGCACCAUUUCAUACAAAUUCAUCCCAAUCAAACAUUAAAUUUACAUUUCAUGCUUGUAAACUAUCCAAACCAAGUUUAACCGUACCAAAUCAAGUUUAUUUGUGCCAAUUAAAUGUCAUACACAAUGUCAUGCAAGUUUCCAAUUCAUACAUCUAUGCAUAUGAACAUUAAGUUCCAUAAUACAUACUAGGUUAACCAACAAUCGAUUCAACUUUGCUAUUACAUAACACCUAUGUACAUGCCACAAAUCGAGCUUUAACGAUAAAAAGAGUAUCGAAUCAAUAAUAGGAUAGUGUGAGCUCCUCGACAACCCACUAGACAUGUUCCACAAGUUGGCGAUCUACAGGGAAAGGGAAACAAUGGGGUAAACAUAUUAAAUGCUUAGUAAGUCUAUAGGCAUUAAACUAAAUAACUUACCUCAUUUUAUAAUUAAACACUACAUGCUACUUAGCUUGGUAAAGUUUGUCUAACAUGACAAAUUAAAUAUAAAAAAAAGUUAGUUAACAUUUAACCUCAUCAUAUAACAAUUCAAAUACAGGCCAAAUAACUUAGAAUCAUAUUUCAAUACAAUUCUCAAAACCAAUUCAACAUUUAACCAUAUGAACAUCAUUCUCAUAAUAUCAUAUCAUUCCAUCUAUUUAUCAACUAUACAUUCAAUUUCAAUUUCAAUUUAAUGUCAAUCACUGUUUCAUUUCAUUAUACAAAUUUUGAAUUGAAUUCAUUGAUUCAUCACAUUUCCAUAUCGGCCCUUCAGGCUUGUAUAACUGGUUCGUAUGAUUUUUCAUAUGCCAUCGAUAUUCGUAUAUCACAAUAUGUAUACAAUUCAUAAUAUCAUAAUAUCAACCCAAUUCAAAUAUCAUUUAUCCAAUUUUCAUUUUGUACCCCUAUUAACCUGACUUGGAUUCAAACGUAUACAUGGAUCUAACUAACCACACCAGUUUGGCACUAGUGCCUCAUCGGACUAUGCUAAAAUAGUUUGCGCCCAACACUCAUCAUUGUGUUUGGCACCCAGUGCCUCAUCGGUAUAACCGAAGUAUAAAUGUGUCCAGCACUCAUCGACUCGUAGUCAAAGUAACUUGUACUCGACCUAUCCUAUGGCAUGUUAGUUAUAUUCGACUCUACCUGAACAGUUAAUAAGGUGACCUUUUAUUCGAUCGUCAUAUUGUUCAAUUCGCAUUUAAAAAAUAAUAAUUCAUACAUCAAAUCAUCAGUUUGUCACAUAGCAUAUCCCAAUUCAAACCAAUUCAAGGUCAAUUCCUUAAUUUAAUUGAAUUACACAAUUUCAAUUCUAUUCAAUUUAAUCCUCUAUCUCGAUAAUCAGUCAAAUUCAUACCAUUAUGAUUUGAUAAGUCAUCAUCAACUAUUAAUUCAUUAAUAUUUCACAUUUCAAUUCAUCAUAUUCAAAUUAUCAGCUAAUUUAUCAUUUUCUUUAUGAUUUAGUCUAUAUCUCACCUUUUGUACCAAACUACAAACAAUUCAAAUUACUAUUAAACAUACACGAAUUCAUAAUUUAAAUAUAUAUAAUAAUUUAUAUACAAGCAUACCAUAUGAAAUUACAUGGUCAAAACAUCAAACAACUCUCCGAGGACAAAUCAACAAAUUUUGUCAUUUCAUCAAUUAUCUUCGAUUUGGUCAAAUUUCCAAUCUAUUCAAUAAUUCAAUUCAAUUUAUCAAUUCUAAAUAUCUUAUAUCAUCAUAUUAUAAGCAUAUGUCAGUUCAUUUUUAUUAUUCAAACGUAUUGUAAAGUUUUGCAUUUUAUUCAAUCUAGUCUCUAAAACCUAAAUUACAAUAUCUUUCAAAAUUGAGCUUUGAUUUCGUAAUCAAUCUCAAUUUCAUCCUUUUACAGCCCUCUAUUGUCAAUAAUUACAGAAUUAUUACACAAAUUUUGAAAUUUAUGCACUCUAGUCCAUAUGUUCAAAUACUAGCAAUUAAACUCUGCAAGUUAGUCAUUUUUCAUAUCUAAGCUUAAAAUAUAACAAAUUAACACCAAUUUCAUCAAGAAAUCAUCAAUGGUUACUUUUAGAAAUUUUAACAGUUUUGUAAAUUGAUACAUGAGUUAGCUAAAUCAACCUCCCACUAUCUCAAAAAUAUAAAAAUUACAAGAAAAAGAAUUUAAUUACAAUAACUUACCAAGAACCAAAAGCUUGAAACUAAAAAAAAUGGUUGCUAGGUUCCUCUUGUACCAUAACUAACUAUCCAAUUAACAAAUUCGUCAGAUUAAAAUUCAAUAUAGUAUUAUAAUUGUCUCGUAAAUAUUAAUUAAUAACAUUUACGGACUCAAUCAUCAAAAAAUAGGAUUCUGAAACAACCAUUUUCGACAUCACUGACUUUCAGGUCGUUACACAAAUAAUCAAAACGAGCAGUUGAUUGAUGAGACUAUUCUUGUGUUUAUUAAGUCCAAAUGGGAAGAUACAUUGUCUUAAGUAUUAGAGUAGUUGACUCCGAAAAAAUAGGAACAUAAGCAAGAUUGUUUAGAUUGACAAUACAUCAGAUAAGACCUAAGUAUAAUUUAUACCAGAUCCGUUUAUAGAUUUAUUCACUUGUGACGUUCAUGGUGUGAUUUACUUUAAUCCAAAAUAAGUGGCUGACCAUGUGUACUUAAUUUAUAUGCUUUGAUAUAUUGAAAGGUUGGGUUCCAUUGGUGUUGGAGCCGAAAGUUGGUAUGUUAGGUAUAUUACUUAUAUAUAGCAUGAUUUCACUUUCAUUUACAGUAAGCGAAAUUAUAACUCGGUUAAAGAAUAAAUGAUACCCUUUCAUUGGUAUUACGUGAAUUACAGAAAAAGAACGUGGACAUGAGUUAUUCGUUUGGGAUGAAUGAUUAUUAUUACUAUUUUUUAACAGUAAUGUUUUUCAUUGUGGAAAAUGCAAUGGUGACCAUAAGCUUAAAUAAGAUCGAAAUAGGUGAACAUAUCUUAACCUAAAUGGAUCAAUGAUAUGUUAUAAGGUCAAUGAUAUGUUGUAAGGGUAACACCAAAAUGAUAAAUUUAAUAGACAAAAACAUAAAUCUAUAUCACUUUUGUAAUGAUAUAUAACGGGGAAGAUCAAUUAUGAUACUUUUAGUGUAUUGACUUCAUGCCUAAAUAAUUGGUGAUUAAUAGACGAAAAAUCGAAACUUAAAUACAAAUGAUUUAAAACCUAAUUAUAUAUCUGAUCGAUCCCUCCAUUAGCUCAACACAACUUUACAUAAAUUGUAAAUAAGAACAAUUACAACAAAGGAAUGAAAAUGAUGAAUCGUAAAUACGUUGCCUGGUUAUUAGUAAAAAUCACUAAAUGCUUGGAUAUUCUUGAACAAAUUUUAUUCACUGCUGUUACAUUUUCAUUGUUUUCUCUCUUCUAUGGUUCUAAAUCGUCGAUUAAUUUGUAUGACCAUUGAGGAAUUUUUUUACUUAUUUCUUUUAUUCUAAUAAAUUUUUUUUCUAAUUCUUUGAUUGUUGAUACUAUUAUAAUUAUAUUGAAUAAAAAUUUAAAAAUUUUGACUCCUUAUCGCAUAACUAUUCGUAGGAAAUGUAAUUUAAAAAAUACAAACCAUGUAAAAAUGAAAAAAAAAAGCUAUUUAAUAAAAUCCGCCAAAAUUAUUAUCUGAUACCAAGCAAGUGGUGAAAGUAAAUCCAACGGUGAAAAUCGAACACAAAGCACCUCGCGACUCCAUCAGCAUAUCAGACAGCAAGCAGAUUCCCAAAACAAAUACUAGAAACCCUACUCCCAAAUAGAAGUUUGAUUGAACUCUCUCAUGGCGUUUUCUACCCGUCUCCUCUACAAAUCUCGCCAGGUCUUUCGUCUUCACUCCAGAUCUGCAUUUAUGAUUUCUUUAAAAUUUCCGCUUCAAAUUCGAACCUUUAUUUUACUUUUUUUUUUUCAUUUCAAUCUUUAUGAUUCAAAAGGUUCGUUUCUCGUUUUUCAGAUUAUUCGGGUUUCGUUUAUUUCACUUGUGGAUCUGUUAUGCGAACUGGAAAUUUGAUGUUUAGAUUAUACUUACAGAUUUAGCUAAAAAUUGGAAGUCAUUUGUGUUAAAUUGCCGUUUUAUAUUAUGGGAUUUCAUCUAAUAUUUUAUGAGAAAAUGUUGGAAUAAAAGUUCCUAUAUUUUUUUUCCAAAAAAAAAAAAGAUAAAUAUUAAGCACGAUUUCAGCCACAAGCCCACAACAGCUAAAAGAAAAAUUAUUGCAGAAUCUAGCAUACAUUAUUUUGAUUUUUUGAUUUUAUGUUAUUAAUUUUACUAAUCCGCAGUAUGAUAUGUUUUUUUGUCUUUGAUGUUUGGCUGGGAUAUUGCAUCUUUUAGAAAUUAAUCUUUGGGUAAUUUGUACAGCUUUAUGUUAGUCAAGCUGUUCUGCGGCAGGAGGUUGCCAUUCCUGUCCGGUUUUACUCUAAAGAGGCUUCUCCCCCUGGUUUAAAAGGAGAUGGUAAGUGUAUAUCAAGAUGCUUGCUUUGCUUUUGACCUUAAUUUGGAUCCCCACUACAUGCUUCUCCCGGCUUGUUUUAAAUAUAUGCUUGUGUAAUGCAGGAGCUGCUACUAUGAUAUUUUAUUGAUUCAGUCUUAUUUAUUGAUUGUUGGAGAUAUCGAUGGAUGGUUAGGAUUAUAAGUUAUUGUUAAAGUUUUAAUCUAGGAAUAGGAAUAUAGGAUUAAAGCUUUAUUUGUAACUUAGCAUAAAUAAGUUGUGAAAUAGAUUUACAACUACUUUAUGAUUAUUUUUGAGGAUAAAUCUCAAAUCUAUACCUGAAUAUUGUGCAAUGUGAUAGGUGAACUUUGAUUUUGUUCAAUUGAAUACAUAGAAAUGUAAAUUUAAAUUAAAUUUUAAUUUCACAGAGCACUCACAAUUUCCAACAUGAAACUGUUUUAUGUUUAUUUAUUGCAUACACUUAUAAUUAAAUUUACCCAACAUGAAUUAAUUGAAAUUAUUAUUUUUUAAUGUAUAAUAAUAUCAAAACCAAAGUUCCAUGCAUAAGAUUGAAUCAAAAUUAAAGUUUGACAUGCAUAAUUGCACCAAAUCAAAGUUAACUUGUUAUAUUACACAUUGGAUUAAAGCUCUUGUGUAAUUAGGAGUUUUAUCCCCUUUUUUUAAUGAAUAGAAUUAGAAACUAGAGGUUUAUCUAACCCCAUGAUUUCCAAGAAUUCUAAUUUUUAUGUUACUCGUCUUGAGACUUAAUUUUAUUGAUUUUCUGCUGUUUUCUCCCGGAACCUAACCAUUAUGUUUCUGUGGACUACCUGUUUUAUGCUUGGGCCUUGGUGCAUUGUCGAUGUGGUUUCAUUUUCUAUAACCUAGAGGUUUGAUGCAUAUGCGAAUGUAGCAGGAUGAAGUGUCUUUUUCAUGUUGAGCUCAUGUUAUCUGUUACUAAUUCUUGUUCUUGUGUGUGGUUUACUGAUGAAUUUGUUUUUGCUUCGAUAAAAAAGAGAUAUUGAAAAAUAUCUUUGUGGAGGUUAAGAACAAAUUCGAGACAGCAUUGGGAAUAUUUAGGAAGGAGAAAAUCACCAUUGACCCAGAUGACCCUGCUGCUGUCUCUCAGUAUGCAAAUGUUAUGAAGACUGCUAGAGAAAAGUAAGUUUUUUCUCUCUUUCGUGGUUGACUUGUUCUACCACUCUUUUCCUUUGAGCAUUUGCACAACUGUUGUUGUUUAGUUUAGAUUAGAUUGUAUUUGCUAAUCGCUAGAACAUUGGGAAGCAACAAGGUAGAAACUAGAAAGUAGAAACGGGGAUUGAGAGUGCUUCUUUGCUCCCAUCCCUGAACUUUUACGAUACAAUAGCACUUCACCACAUUGUGCAAAAAAAAGGCAUUUCAUCACUGCCGUACAAGGAGUGCUUAAUAUUUGCCAAUGCCCCCUCUCCCAAUCAGCCAACCCAGGUCCAAGCCAAAGGCCAAAACUGUAGUUCUCUCAUAAAAGUGCUCGUAAUGAGGAAAAUAUGAGAUUAAAUUACUCAAGUCAACAGUUAAGAGCUUAAACUGAAUGCUCUUGUCAUGUUUGAUUGUAAAAAAUAGUUUUAGAAAUAAAAUCAAAAUUUAACAUUUCUCAAACUCUGUAAUUACGCAGCUCUUACAUGUCUGCUUGAGAUCUGGUGGAUAAUGUUUUAUGGGAAGGAGGACUUUAUAAAUUGUAACUGCUCGCCUUUUCUAUUAUUUACAGUUGUUGAAUCAUGCCUUCCCCAUUGUUUCUUCUCUUUUAAUUGAAGCUAACCAGAAGAUAAUAGAAUGAGACCAUAUUUAGUUAAUUGCUAUGAAAACUGAUUUGAGAAGCCUUAUUGAGCCAAUCUUAUUGGACUCAGAUUUUGGUGUUCUUAAACCAGUACAUGCAAGGGGUUUAGCUUCUUUUUCAUUAAAGUAGCUGAUUCUCAGCUUGGUUAAUUUGUAGUUAAAAUUUGUUUAGUUGUUCAUAAGGACCAAUUUCUUGAAGUUGUUAUAACAAAUUUGCUCAAUAUCACUUCAUUUUAAACAGUAACUAUAAGAGAUCUUAUUUAAAUCUGAGGUCGUAAACUGUCUUUUAUUACUCUUGUUGUAUUAUUCCAUUUCCCACCUUAUGCUAUCCUGUCACCCUAGACAAGAUGAAAUAGUGCUUUAAAUAUGGCAUGCAUUUCACUGCUUUAUAAUUUGUUUGUCUAAUAUCUGUCUAUCCUGCAGGGGUGGCUUGUUUUCAGAAUCUCAACGGAUCAAAUACACCAUCGAAACACGAACUCAGGGCAUUCCAGAUGUCCGAACAUAUUUAUUGACACUGAAGGAAAUAAGAUCCAAGUAUGUUAAUCCCUAUUUCUCAGUUAGUUGCAUAUCGUUUAUAAAUCCUUAAUAUUGUAGAAUACCAUAUUUGGUAGUUUAGGGCUCAUUUGUUUCACAGAAAAUAAACUCAGAGUCAAUGGAAACAUUGACCAAUUUUUCCAAAGCAAAAUGUCAUGGGAAUUCAAAAUUUCAAAUGCCAAAACUAUCUCAGCAAGGGAAUUCAAAUGCCCGUCCUUUUUGCCAAAAAAUAAAUAAAAUUAGUAAAUUAUCACUUUCUAACUGUUUUGCAUUCUUUUAUAUUUCUGAUAUUUUUGCGUGUAUAUUUAAAUGUUGCAAAAUUAUUAUUUAUCAUUAUUAUUAUUUUGGACAAUAGUAAUGACAUUAUUUUAAUAGUUCUUAUAGUGAUGCUGAUUUUCCAGAAAAAAAGAAACCAUAUAAUGGAAUAUGUUUUAUACCACAUCAUUUGAACAGCACGCAAUAGCAGCUUUUCCAGAAAUUGUUUAUAGGAAGCAAUUUAUGUGAAACAAAACGAAGCCUUAAAUUUGUCUCCUUCUGCCACGGUAGCAUGUCUUUGCUGUCCCUGUUUGUUUCAGAUUUUCCUCUUUCCGGGAAGUAUAUAGCUUUCACUGAAUGAAAAUAUUGGAGUCCUGUUUUGCAUGGAAAAUUCCUAUUAGAGUUGAGUUGAACUUGUGUUUUGAUUGUAAGAUCUGCUUCUGACUAUUUCCAUAUUAUCUUUUUGUGAUUAAUCUUUUUAUUUAUUCAUAUCUUUUUUCAACCUUCUGAAGGAGAGGACUCACUGAUGAACUUGGUGCUGAGGCUAUGAUGAUGGGUGCGUUGGAUAUAGUUGAAAAAGAAAUCAAGAAGCCUCUUAUGAGGGAUGACAAGAAAUCAAUGGCUCUUCUUACUGCUGAGUUUGAUAAGAUCAAUAAGAAGUAAGCAUUCUUUUCGAUAGCCAGAUAUGUUCCUUUGACCAUUGACUAGGCAUUUCUGAAAAUAGAAAAGCACGCAAAUUAUAUUAUUGGACUCGGAAUGAGCUAGAUUCUUUAUGCAAUUCCAGCAAAUGGCCUCAUUGCAGAAAAUAAUGAAUUUUUUUAGCCAUUUUUGCAAAGCAUGUUUCACAUUCCGCCCGCUUUUACAUAAUGGCUGCUGUAAUAUGUGAUUUUGAGUUGUUGAGCUCCAAAUUUGCUUCUAUCCCUAAAUUAAAGCAGAGAGCUGCGUUUUACUAUUUGCUUAUGAGUUUUGGAGGAGUUUUAAAUUUAGGCUUUGCUUCUGUUCCUAAAUUGAAGUGGAGAGUUAUGUUUGUGUCUUCUUUUGCUACUGUUUUCUAGGCUUGGGAUCCGGAAGGAAGACCUGCCCAAGUAUGAAGAACAACUGGAGCUAAAAAUUGCCAAGGCGCAAUUGGAGGAGCUGAAGAAGGAUGCUCUUGAAGCAAUGGAAACACAAAAGAAGCGGUAUGUUAAAAGUUCUUGUGUACCUAAGAAUCAGCCAGAAAAACGAUCCAAGCAUACUAAAACACACACACACACACACACACAAUACAUAGAGAAAAAGCAAAAUACCAAGUUGAAACCAAAUUGAGAGAGGUGGGAAAAGGUUUGGGUUUAGGUUUUAAGUUAGUUCAUAUAUUUAGGGUAAGAUAGUAUUUUAAUAUCAAUAUCUUAAAAUAUGUGAUGUAAAAAAGGAAAGUUUGAUUAUCGAACAUAGUAUUAAGAUACUCGAAUUUGGCUCACUCAAUAGCUUGAGCUGCUCAAGCUUGGCUUUUUAACAACUGAAUCUAAGUUGAAUUUUUUUGAGUCAAACUCAAAUAGCUUGCGACAUCAAGUGUUUUCUAGUUCUUGGGCGUGGCUGCUGGGACAUUUCAGUUGGAUGAAAUCGGUUUAGUUGCUUGGAGCAUAGAUCAUAAAAAUGGCCUUCUUUAGUCAUACUAUUGGGUAAACUUUUAAACUGUUAAUUUGGGAGAAACAUUAUACUAUUAUAGUUUGUAUAACCAAGAGAGAUGAUAUUUAUCAAAUCAUACAUCUACACUGUUUAUACAACCAAAUCAUUAUCUGCCUGGAAUUUGCAGUAAAAUGUUGGAUGAACGUUUUAUUGGUAUGCAUGUUACUUGGGCUCAGAGUGUCGGAUAUUACUAUAUGUUUGACACCUGCAUAUUCAUUUUUCUUUUGCCUUUUAAGCUUUCUGUACACAUUUAGAAGAUCAUAACGUCAAAUUUAUGUCGAAAUGUAUUGACAUAAUUGUCAAACAUGAGGGUUUUAGGAAAACUGUAAGUGUCUGGGUAAUAUAGUUUGUAUUCAGGACAUUUAUAUAUGAAAUGUUCUUAAAUGGGUUAAAUCACAUUUUGAGAUUUGAUCUUGGCAAUUUUUCCCACAUUGAGGCCUGAACUCUUUUUUUUUUUUGUCUAAGCUAGACUUUGAACUUGACAGCUGUUCUCACAUUGAGACUUUUAACUUUUUUUUAUCCAAAUUAGUCCUUGAAAACCUUAAAUUUCAGGCCUUAAUGUGGGAAUGAUUGUUAAGUUCAAGGUCUAACUUGGAUAAAAAAAGUUCAAGCCCCAAUAUGGGAAAAGGUGCCAAGUCCAAGUCUCAAUAUGGGAACAAUUGUCAAGUUUAGGAUUAACUUGGAUAAAAAAAUUUAGACCCCAAAUAGAGAUUUAACCCAUUUUAAAUCUUUGUUGUGAUAGAAAUUGAUGCAAUUUUUUAUUUUAUCUUUUGUCAGGGAGGAAUUCAAGGAUGAGGCAAUGCCUGAUGUGAAGUCAUUGGACAUCCGGAACUUCAUCUGAAACUCGAAAUUCGCCUUUGGUGGUUCCAGUUUGAGGGUGAACAAGUAUAACUGUUCAACAAUUGCUUAAAACCUUUCUUUUUCAUUUUGCUACAAUAAUAUGAUAAAUAAUAAUAAUGAAAAGUGAAACCGGUGAUUGAAAGUGCACAACCGUCAGAUCUGAACAACUUAAAUUGUUGUUUUUGUUUGUGUUUAUUAUUCUCAAGUUUUUGGGAUGAAUUUCGGCUCCUUAUUGUUAUGAUUUGGUUGGUUGUAUGAAAGCAAACAUCGAUCCGUCUUUGAGGUAGAUAAACCGCAUCCAUAAUAAUUAGCUUUUUAUGAUGGCAAAAUUAUGUGGAUAUUUUUUAUUAGCUUGGACAAAUUUAUCAAUAAAAAGAUUUAUAUUUUUCCUUGCCAUUAAGUGACAUUGUUAUGAGUUGCUUUUCUUUUGUGGGUACCGUUACAGAAGUUAAAAGAGUACGAUGGAAUUAUUUUAUUUUUGCAAAAAAAAAAGAAAAAGAAAAAGAAAAAGGGGGAGAAUAUAGAUAUUAAUUAAUUAUUUUUAAAAAAACAAGUGUGGUUAUUAAUAAAUUAAGAUAAAAUUAUGAAAAGAUGCGUCCUAUCUCGCUAUCUUAACUCCUUACCACGUGAUCUGCACGUUCAAAUCCAAAUUUCAAGGAUUUUAUCCCAAGUUCUAUGAGUAUUUAUUUCUUUAUUAUGCCAUGUUAUUAUAUUCUAACAACUUACAAGUUACAACAAACUCGUGGGAACAAGGAAGAUGAAGGCUUAUAUCAUCUCUGUGCUCUUUCUUUUAAUAUUUUCCUAUAGCUGUUUCCUGUACAUUUUGUGAGAUUAAAGAUGACUUAAAGAUUAAUUAUUAUUAUUAUUAUUAUUAUUAUUAUUAUUAUUAUGGUGAAAUUAAAAUAAUCAUGAAAUAUAUGUUCUUAUGUUUGAAUGUAGAAAUAGUAUUGUGAGUUUAUUAAAAAAAAAAAGAAGGGACUUCGGAAUAAAUAAAUUUUUAUGUAACAAGUUUAAUUAUUCGAUAUUUUUGGAGUUAAUAAAAAAAGUACAAUUAUUUUAUAUCAUUUAAUUUUUUGAUAUUAUUUUUAAAAGAAAAAAUGGUAUACCUACAGAUGUUAAAAUAAAAUAACCAAUAUUUAUUAACUUUAUUAAUUAUAUAGUUUUUUAAUGACUUAAUUUAUAUAAAUAAAUAAAAACCCUCCAUAAAAAAAUCAAUUCACCCUUUCCUUAUCCCAAGUUAUCACUUCCUUUAUUAAAAUGUAAAAACUUCACAAAUACUAUGGAAGUAAACAAUUUCAAGUGGCAUCAUAAAAAAACAAAAAACUAAACUAGAUGAAGUAAAUUAACUAAAAAUCUGAUAUUGGCGGGUAAAUCGAGCGAGUCAAAAAAGGAAAAAGAAAAAUGGCGUGGGAAGGGAAACGGGGUUGUUUGGGAAAAUAGAGAUUGGACAAAAAGAUAAAAUCAGCGCCGUCGCUUUGGUUAAGAGAGUGGCGUCAUCGUCGCUGUCCGAGUGGGCACGGCAAGGGGUCGCCUGGGGGACCACCCCCUGUAAGCGCACGUGGGCACAUCAGAUCCACCCCCCCUUCCCCACUGACUUUGCUUUUUGCUUGGCUGAGAGAGAAAAGAGUUGGCUGAGCUAUUUUUAUUUAUUUCUGCCCCUCUUGCCCCCUUACACUGCCCCACCCUUGUCUUCUGCCCCUAACUUAUCCGCUUACUUUUGAUUUAAUUAAUAAUGCUAACUAAUUGAGUGGAGGUUUAAUCAAGUAUUACAUUUGUAAAAAUAUUUAUUAAUAAUUAAACUUAAAUUGAGAUAUUAAACUACGCUUAACAACUCCUUAAACCGAACUUAUAUAUUUUAUAAGAUUCGACCUUCAAGGCUCCUCCUUUUGAUUAAGCUAAAAUAUGAUCGGCUAAUUAAAUAAUUUGUUAAUUACCAUCCGUUAGGUUUGGUCAGUUCAAAUCAAGCUUUAAUCAGGGCAAUUUUUAUAAUUCAAAGCCUAUAUCAUUUCAGAAAUAUAUAUUUUAUGAAAACUAUAUCAUAUACAGCUAUCAUUAUCAUUUUAUGAAAAAUUAUCACACAUCAAAAAAUACUCCAACAUUAUUUGACGUAUUCGCGGACUUAGGGGGAGCUGGUGGGUCUCCAAUCCCCAUUUAUAAAUUAUGAAAUUUUAAAUUAGUAAUGGUGAAAUUAUAUUUCGGUUCUCAAAAUAAUAAUAAAAAUUAAUUUAUUAAAAUAAUAAAAAUUAUAUUUUUUACGAUAGUAGAAAUAUACAAUUUAAUAACGACUCCCUAAAAAAAAUUUUCUAGCUCUGCUACUGAUCUGAAGAGGUACUAUUUGGUUAUUAAUUGAAGUAGGUAGCAAGGAAUAACGGAAUAUAAUCUAUAUUAUGUUUUAAAUGCCUAAAUGAAUUGAUAUCACUCUAAUUCAACCGGUAAAUGAUUAAAACUAUAGUUUUUAUAAAAUAAAAUAGGUUAUCAAUAGGAUGUUUUUUUAUAAAGUAAUGUUGAUACUCCAUCUUUGAUAACCAUACGAAGUAGUAAUAAAAAUACCACAUUAAACGUUUUUAAAUACAAAUAUCACGUAUUCUAACAAGGUUGCAUUCAAGACAGUACCUUAAAAAUAUAUUAUUAUGAUUUAUUAUUAGUAGAUUCAUCAAAUUGCUCCAAUUCUUCCUACAUUCUAUUUUCUAUUUUUUAUUAAAAGAAGAAGAAGCAGGAUUAACAGAUUUAUGAGCACUUUUCACCCUAUUUUCAGCAAAAAGUGUGACCACCUUUAUAUAUAUAUACAAAAAAAUAAUAAUAAUAAUUCAAUCAAAUUAUCAAAACACCAAAUUUCAUGCACAAGAUCUGCCCAACCAAUUUACUCUCUUUGAUUUGAACUAUUAAAGAUGCAAUGCCUCUUUUCAGUUUUAUCUGUUGAUUAAAAAAAAUACAUCAUGUUCAGGUCUUUUUUGAACCUUCCUUUAUUUAUGGUAACUUGUUCUAUCGUUUAAUGAAUUGAUAUGUUUAAAAAACAAACAACAAACUAAAAUUUGAUCCUAUGAUAAUAUUUAAGGUUUAUAUAUAAAAUAUAAAAAAGACAAAAAAAAAAUCUCAUAAUGAUAUGUUUUAUUAUAAAAAAAAGGUAUUUUUGUGCCGAUUAAAUCUUAACUCGAUUGGUAUGGAUAUUGUUACCAAUGUAAUAGGAUGUGAGUUCGAUUAAGCUGAAACGCAUUAUUCUCCUAUUUAUGAGUUGGAGAGGGGUUAUGGAUAAUUCUAAAUAUUUUUGUGUAAAAAAAAAGUAGGUUCUACGAUCAAAAUGCUAAUUUAAUCAAAGAUAAAAAUAUAUAAAUUUCAUUAGGCUUUUAACUUCUUCUUUUUUAUGAUUAAAGUGAUGUUCAUUUUACAAUACAUAAAAAUGAUUCCUUCUAGGAUUUUGAUUAAUAGAAAGUGAAAACUUUUAACCUUUUAAUUUUACUUUAUAUUUAUUCAAUAUUAAAUUUAGUGUUGAACCCACUAAAAUUUAUCUCUUAAUUAUAUAAUUAUUAAUUAUACUAGUUCUAAAAUCUACCUUCACCAAUAUAAUAACUAAAAAAACACCCAAAUGCAAGAGCACGUGCAGUGCAUGAAAAGGGGGGAAAUUGACAAAUAAUACUCAAAUUUAUAUCUGGAAAACGAGGAAGAACCUUGGAAUUUGGUAAAACCUUGAAUUCUAUUGGAAUUUAUCCCACAUGUUCUAUGUGAAAAUAAUUGUAUUGGUAAUCAAGUUAAAAUAGGCGGCCAAUUUCCACUUUAAAAGAAUCAAGCAAAAUGAGUAAAUGGGCUUUUUCCUAAUUAAAAAGGUGUGAUUAAUUCUUUUAAUUUUAUGUACUUUCAAUAGCCAAGUGCAAAAUUAAUGGAACACAACAUAAAUAUAUAAAUAGACAAUUAUUCUUUUAUAAUUUUAAAUUACUAGGUUAUUUAUCAUAUACCUCAAACCUUAAAUAGGAGGAUAAUGUAUUUCAAUGCAUGCAAACUCACGCCCCCCUACACUGAUAAUAAUGGCAACAAUGCGGAUGCCUAUCGAGAUGAGACUCAAUAGAGAGUAAAAUUUUAAACGAUCCACUUAAGACUAAUUAAUAAAACAAAGUUUUUCUAUAAGAAAAAAAAAUGAGGAAUAAAACAGCAUAACAACUGGGAAGUGUAUAUUUACACAUUUAUAACAAGCUAAAACAGCCUGUUUUUUUUUUUCUUUUGCAUGCAUACAUACAUCAAAUGGUAAAGAUACAUGGGGGGGGGCAAUUUUAUGGCCCUUUUUUUUUUUGUGGGAGCUUCAUUCUUCAUAUCUUAAAAGAAUCUCAUGUGAAAAUUUGGUUCAACUGGAUUUAUCUACUGGCUACUACAUACCUUCAGGGACUUCUUUAAUGGUCAUGUCUACCAUUUCGACAGCAUUAAAACAGCCAUCGUCGGUGCCGAUGGUUGAUUCUGAGUCGAGUCCGGACCCUGCUUGUAUUUCCUUGAACAUUGCCAUUACUCGAAUCAUCGUUGGUCGUUUCGAUGGUCGAUCAUCCAAGCAAGCUGAGGCUAUUUUUAAGUGUUGUGAAAGCUCCAUCUCAAGGCUUGGGUCCUCGUUGAUGAGCUCGGGAUCAAAGACGGCGGUUUCUCGAAGUUUAGCCUGCUGUUUCACCCACCCAACAAGAUUGUUAUCCCCGAAAUCGGCGGAACCCGUAGGCCUUUUCCCUGUUAGCAACUCGAGCAAAACUACACCGUAACUGUAAACAUCGCCUUUGGUGGAACAUCGAAAACUAUGGUAGUAUUCAGGGGGAACGUAGCCAGGGGUACCAGCUAAUGUACUGACACUUAAAUGCGUAUCCAUUGCACUCAUAAGCCUUGCCAUCCCGAAAUCUGAGACCCUAGCCUCCAAGUUCUCGUCAAGCAGGACGUUGCUCGAUUUCAUAUCUCUAUGAAUUAUAUGAGGAAUGCAGUUAUGGUGAAGAAACGCAAGUCCUCUUGCAGCUCCAAUGGCGAUCUUUCUCCUUGCAGCCCAUUGCAGUUUGAUCCCGGUUCUCUUUUGAUUAUGUAAAACAUCUUCUAAGCUUCCGUACUUCAUGUACUCGUAAACCAGAAGACGUUCUUCGCCAACUUUACAGUACCCCAAGAGCGGAACAAGGUUCCGGUGCUUGAUUUUCCCGAUGGUUUCCAUCUCCGCUGUGAAUUCUCGGUCACCUUGGCCACUGAUAUGUAUUAGUUUCUUGAUCGCAACAACGCUCCCGUCUUUCAGUUGUGCCUUGUAUACAUCACCGAAACCACCGGAACCGACAAGGCUGUCGUUAUGGAAGCCAUUAGUGGCUUCAAGAAGAUCGGCAAACGUGAGCCUCCGUAGGGGCUUCUCGAAUGCAGCGAGGUUUAUGCUCAAUGCUUCUCGUGCACUGGUUAGCUUCCAACUGGUAUUUGCAGUUCCAGAAUGAGUAAGACCAUCAAUGUAAACAUCGAGAUCAGAAUCUUUCUUGCUUCUUUUCUUCGUUUCCACAAUGGCUACAAUCAAACAGAAGAUGCAGAACAGAGAGAACAACAAUCCCAUUGCGACACUCCCUGCAAGAGAAGCUUGCCUGCGGUUCGACUUUCGAUGCUCGGCAUUCGAACUAGCUGCCUGAUCUUUUUCGCAGGGUUGAAGAGGUACACCACAGAGACCCGAAUUGUUUAAGAAAUUAUUAGCCGGAAAUGUUUCCAGCUGACCUUCAUCAGGAAUCAUACCAGAUAAAAGGUUAUUUGACAGAUUAAUCUCACUAAGCAUCGAAAUGCCAGUCAUUGAUUGUGGAAUCGACCCUUCGAGCCGGUUGUACGAAAGAUCAAGAAUGCCAAGACCCUUUAAGUUGCCAAUCUCUUGAGGGAUGGCUCCAGAUAAAUUGUUGUGGCCUAAAUUCAAAAUAAACAGAUUAGACAUCGAGCCGACCUCCUUUGGAAUAGUCCCAGACAACAAAUUGUACGAAAGAUCAAGGAAAAUCAUGGAGCCAUUGUUGUUAAAGGUAGGCUGUGUGUGACCGCCGUAAACUCUUGUAAAGUUGCAGGGGUUCCUAUCCGAAAUUCGAUUCAAAUCUUCCGAUCGAAUUCCAGCAAAUUCAAGUAAAUUUCCAGACCCAUGGCACUCUCUGCUUCCAUCAUUCUUGAUAUACAUAUACCUCUUCCCAGCAAUGAAAUUAACAGCAAUCUUACCAGAUUGUUUGAAAAGCACAUUAGGGAUAGUCCCAUUCAAGUUAUUGGUAUUAAGGUCCAACCAUAUCAAACUUUUACAAUCUCCGAGUUCUGGUGGGAUUCUUCCAUAGAAAGAGUUAUUGCUGAGCUUGAGAAUCGCAAGACUCGAAAACUUGCCAAACCAAGCCGGAAUCUCGCCCGUCAAUCGGUUGUUCGACAACGAGACCCAAUUCGACUUGGUACAGUUGCUUAAACCAGAAGGUAUAGUCCCAGUCAGUUCAUUGAAGUCAAGAAUCAAAGUCUCGAGUGUCUGGAUUUUACUCAACUCUUGAGGGAUCCCUCCAUGGAGCUGAUUCAACCAAAGCUUCAAAUCCUUAAGCUUUGAUAGAGAACCCAAGCUUGAAGGAAUGGUUCCAGUGAGAUAAUUGACGCUCAAAUGGAGUGAAACAAGCUGAGAACAGUUGCUGAGGCUAGCUGGAAUCGACCCAGAUAAGAUAUUGUCCUGUAAAUACAGAACUUGUAACCUGUUUGUGGGAUUUUCGCAUAAAGAAUCCGGAAUUUGCCCUGAAAAGUUGUUUGAACUGAGAUCCAAAACCUCCAGGUUUGAAAGAGUUGAUAAAGAUUCAGGCAAUGGACCAGAGAAAUGAUUGAAAGCUAGACCAAGCUCCUUCAAGGAACUCAUAUUUUGGAAUAUCCCAAUAGGGAGAUUACCAGUGAAGUUGUUGCUUGAUACAUCGAAUGAUUCCAAAGAAGUGCAAGAAGCAAAGCCACUGGGAAUCAGACCAGAUAGAUUAUUAAAAGAAAGAUCCAGCUCAACGAGAUAAGAACAAGCUUGAGUGAGAUACUGAGGAAUCUCUCCUUGGAAGUCGUUUUCAGCUAAAUAAAGACGCUGCAAAUUGGAAGCUGGCAAAGUAGGAAACUGACCCGAAAACUGGUUGCUCGAUAGGUUCAAGAAAUUAAUGUUGACACAUGAAGAAAUCGCACGGCCUAUAUCGCCUGAAAACUUGUUGCCGGAGAUAUCAAGAUGUUCCAAAGCCGAACAGUCUCCGAAUGAAGGAAUCCCCGUCGAGAAAUUGUUGGAUGAAAGAUCCAAAAACUCCAAUUCCUUGCAAUUCGAGACAUCGAUUUCGCCGGUAAUCUUGUUUCCUUUCAAAGCCAAGACCUUUAACUCGCUGCAACCACCGUAGAGAAUCCAAGGAACCACGUUCGCACCGGAAAUCUUGUUGAAAGACAUAUCGAGGACUUGCAAACUUAGCUGCAAACCCCUGGAUUCAUCACCUGCAAACUCGAGACUAUUGCUUGAUAAAUUCAGAACCUUCAAGUUCGAGCAAGAAGCCAAGCUGGAAACAGUCGAAAGGGAACUAGACAAGGUGUUUUGAGAUAGAUCCAAGGUGUUCAACGAGGAGCUACACUUGGAUCCAGAAGGGAAAGAAAUGUUGCCGGAGAUGUUGGCUUUGAACAAAGAAAUGGAUUCCAAAUUCUCAAGGGCUAAAAGGAAAGCAGCAACGUAGUGAAAAUCAGUGCUUAAAGGGAUAUAACUGAGUUGAAUCGAUGAAACUUUGGAGUCUUGGCAUUUGAUACCAUCGAAACUACAAGGGUCUCCGUUAGGAACCCAGUUUUGAAGAAGAGAUGGGUCAGCCAAACUAGCUUUAAAGUUGAGCAAUAACUGAGAAUCUUUACUGUUAUAAUAAGAAGAAGAAACACCAACAGCUUCGACAUAGACGAGAAAGGUGGCGAUGAAGCUAAGAGUAAGGGGGCAAAAGUAAGUCCCUAAGGCAAAGAAAGGUCUCAUUUUUUGUGGAUAAAUUUGAUUUUUUUUGUUCUCAUAUAAGGAAGAGAUUAAGAGGGGACAAAGGAAGAAGGUGUUUAGGGUGUGAGCACCUCCAUUAGAGAGAAGAAAAAAAAAAGAUGGAGCUUUGAGCUCUGGUUUUUAGAGAGAGAAACAAAAUUAUGGAUUUCUUUUUCUUUCUUUCUUUUCUUUUUUUUUUCCCCUUUUUUUUUGUUUUUUUUGUUUUUCAGUUUUUGGCAUUGGGUCAUUGAAAGAAAGAAAUAGACAGCGAGAGUCAAAGCAUGGUUAAGAAGGGUAUUUGCUGUUGCUCACAUGCCAUGUGAUACUCCACUCUCUUUCUUCAACAAGCUCAUUUCUUUAAUAAAUUAAGUAAUUAUUUAAUCAAUAAAAAAUCUUCACUUAAUCUAAUAAAAAAAGUUUUUUAUUAUAAAUUAAAAUAAUGAUUAAAAAAUAAUAUGUUUGUCUCUCUAGAUAGGUGACCAAGUGCAUGAGAUUAGGGGGAUGGGAUCCAUCUUUAUCUUUAAUCUAUACUUAAAAAUGGUGAGGGUCGGAUUUUUUUUUUUGUAAUAUUAGAAUUUGAUUUUUUUUCUUAUUGAUUUAAGUGUUGAUUGAGUGAGAAAAAUUAAAUAUUAAAAAAUUAAGUACAUAAUUUAAGUUAUAAGAUAUGUUUGAUAUAUUAUUUAAAAUUAAGUAUGGAAUUUAAUUAAAUUAUCUUAUAAAUAAUAAAUUUUAAAUUUUAAAUUUCCUUAUCUAAUUAUUUUCAACUUUUUUCAGGGAAAAUCCUAUUAUUUAUCUUUUAGUUUGGAUUAUUAUAUAUGCUCAAAAUAAUUUCAGUGAUUUUAUUUUUAAUGGGUUUUUAAACAAUGCCUUAAUUUUAUAUUAUAUUUAUAAAUAUAAGAACAAUAUUUAGUGCACUACAAGUAGAAUUUUUAGAUUUUAUAAACAAGAUCAGGAUUGACAAGUGUUGUAUAUGAAUAUAAUAAAAUAUUACAAAUAUGCACACGAUAAUUUUUAAAAUUGAUUAUAAGAUAAAAAGUAUAUUGCAAGUAUCUCAAAUAUUAAUCCGUAAAUAUAAUAAUAAAGCUUUCAAUAAAAUGAAUAAUUGAUUUAGAUAUCCGUAUUAAAAUAAUUAUUUUUAAAAAUAAAUAAAUAAAUAUUUAAGAUUUAAUAUCCACCUUAUAAUUAUCCUUAAAUUUGUUUUAUAAUUAAAAAAUUAAAAAUUAAAAUAUAGUCGUGUAAUUUUAAAUACAGAGGUAGUAUAAAUAGAGAAACAUAAUUGAUACCAUAUAAAAAAUGGGAAUAUAGAAAUGGAAAAAAUAGAGUGUUUGUCUCUCUAGCUUUUGACGCAUACGUGUGAUGAAAGAUUGAUCCAUCACUCUCAAAUCUCAAUUAAUUAGAGAUUCCCAAUGUCUUAUAAUUUAAUGGGGCGGUCACGAGGGUUAAUCCUACUCUUCUUUUUCCUUUUAUUUACUGUUUUUAUAAGUAAUAGCUCUCCUUUUCCCACUUCGAAUUUUGUGAUUUCCCCCUUUCUCUUUUCCUUCAACAUAAACCACGCUCGUUUGCCAUGCACUUUCCUCCUCCACCCCCACUUCUUUUUAAACGUAACGCAGACACAAGACGACAAUAUUUUAAAUUUUAUAUCUUUUUAAUAAUUAAAUCCAAUCUACUUUAUAUAAAUUUAAUAAUAUUGUUUAAGUUUAUAAAUCAAACAUAAUUACGUUAACCAUCAUUUUCAUAUAAUACGUGUUAAAAGGAAAUAGAAAUACGGUUAACACAAAAUGAAACUUUAGUUAAAUAUAUUUAAUUUUAAUAUUAAAAAUAUUUAAUUAAUUUUAUGGAGAGAUUAGGAAGUUUGGUUGAAGUAAAAAAUUAAUGCAAAAUUAUAGUUAUUAUUUUUAGGGGUGUUCAAAUAAUCGGUUCAAUUAAUAUUCAAACUAAAUUACUAUUAAUUGAAUUAUCUUAAAUGUAAAAUUCUUUAACCGUUAAUUGAACCGGUUUUUUUCAAAUAUAUUAAUUGAACCGAAAUAUUUUGGUUAAUUAAAUUAACCGAAAUAUAUAUUUUUAUCUUUUUGUUAAAAUAAGUAUAAAACAUAUAAAAAAAUACAUUGCUAAUGUUCAUUUUCUUUUAUUUAAUAGUCAAAAAAUUUUUAAAUGGAGAUAAAAAUAACAAAUAAGAUAUUAGAAACACUACAUCAGUCUCGAAAGUUAACAAACCCAACAUAAAUUUUGAAAACAAUAAAUAUUUCGAUUAGUUACCCAAUUUCAAACCGAAUUAACUGAUAAUAGAAAUUUCAAAAAUUCAUUAAUCAACUUUCGACUAAACUAAAUUUGACCAUCGACCAGUUAAUUAAUUAAUUUAAUUUUAACCGAAGUGUAAAUACCAUUAAUUACUUCCCCAUUUACUCAGCAUUGUCUCGAAUCUGGAAAUAGCAAAAACAUAAGUGAAAAAAAUUAUUACUCCAACACAGCAAAUACAGAGGACGCUUACAUUAAUAUUAGAUUAUGCGGUGAAAAAAAAAGAACACAAAACAUAUAUUUAUUAAAUGUUUAUAAAAAAUCAAAUCAACAUUUAAUAUUAUGACGCGAAGUUGAAUUUUUAUUGUGUGGGUUUUUUAUUCGUUUUAUAUAAAUAUUUAUAAUAAUAUAACAUAUUUUUGUGAAAAACAUGAAACUCGGUCAAUACUCAAUAUAAUAGAGACAAUAGAUAAGGUGAAAUCCUUUUUUACUGUUUUACAGUUAACUUUUUGAUUUUUUUUUUCUUUACCACAUCACCAAAUUUACCGUAAAUUCUCUGUGAUUCUCUUUUGUCUGUAAAUACUUCGAGUACUCUCCCUUGUUUAGUGCCACGUCAUUCAAGGAUUUUCCUACAACCUUUUAAGGACAAUGAUUGGAUGAGUUUAUGGAACGUGGAUGUUUAUAUCAGCAUGUUGUCAAUGAAAGAUAAAUUGUAGUUUUAAAAUAAGAAUAUUAUUUUGUUAUUUAAUCAUUAUAAUAAUUUAUUUAUUUUUAUAAAACUAAUUAGGAUUAUUACCUUAUACACUUUCUAAUAAAAAAUAACUAUUUGGUAUAUUAGUUUAUUCUACAAACAACCUUAAAAAUUUAUUUUGUAUCGUUUUUUCUUUAAAUAUUUAUUUAAUAUUUACUAUACUAUUAUUUACGAGACACUUGUCAAUCCCUUAACCCUAUUUGUGGAGAUUAAAAACUCCACUGACAGUGUAUUAAAUAAAUUUUCAUAAUAAUUAAAUAAUUUAAAAAGGAAAAAAUAUUUGGUACAUUGCUUGAGGAGUUUUAGAAUGCACAAUAAGUAUUAGGGGAUUGGCAAAUAUCUUAUAAGGGUAUAAUAAAAUAUAAAAAAAUAAAUAUUUUAAAAAACUAGACACAUGACAAUUUUUUAAAACUACUUGCGGAAUAAAAAAGAUUUUUUGUCAGUGUAUCAAAUAUUAACCCUUAAAAAAAAGACAUUUGGUAUCAUAUUAGACCCGCUUGUGGAGCUUUUCUACUUCACUAGCAGUUGGCAAAAUAAUUACCCAUUAUAAAAUGGGGAUGAUCCACUUAAAUCGGUGUAAAUUUUAAGUACUUUUACAUGCAUUAAUAUAUACAAUAGUUUAGAUUAAUACGAUAGAAAUAUCAGAUCAUUUCAAAAGUUUACAUGCAUGACAAGUAUAAAUAUAUUGAUAAAUUGAUAACUUUAACAAUUGGGUUAUUAAAAUAUUAAUCAUAUAAAAAAUUAAGGAAUAAUAUAAAAUUAUUUAAUUUUUACACCAAUAUAAAUGAAUCCCUCGCCUUAUAAGAUUACAGAUUAUAUAAUUACUAUGAAAAUUAAUAAUUACAAUUGUUAAAUUAAAUACCUAACUCAAUUAAAAUUUAUUAUCGCAAUAAAUUUUUUUCAAACUUGAAUUUAAUUCAUUUUUAUUAUAAGUGUCACACUUUAACCAUAGUUUUAUAUUGGAUCCCAGUAUUUGAUCUGUUGCCUAACGACGUUCACUCCAUAUUCACAUGGAACAAGGGGCUGUAGGGUCUUAAAAUUAAAAAUUUCUAUUUAAGUAGUGAUUUAGAAAUUUUAAAUUAAUAAAAAUAAAAUUAUAUUUUAAUUCUCCUUAAAAAUAUAAAAAUUUAAUUUAAUCCUUUAAAAAUUAUAAAGAUAUAAAUUAUUAAAAUGAUGAAAUUAUAUUUUUAUUAUCGUAAAAAUUACAAUUUAAUUUCAACUCCUAAAAAAAUUUAUAAUUUCGCACUUGAAAUUAAACAAUUGGGAUCGUCUAUUAGCAAUGUAUAUGUGUGGCAAUGAUUUAUUUUUAUAAGUAAAAUAUUAUAGAGAUAUUUAAAUAAUAAUUAUUAAUUAGAUUGUCUUUUUAACUACAAUCUAAUUAAUGAAAUUAUUUAUAUUUUUAUUUAAAUAUUUCUAUAUUAUUUUGUUUAUUUUACUCGUAUAGUAUACCUUAAGGUAUAAAACUAGUAUUUAUUUAAGCAAAAUUUAAGUUAGAGAGGACAAAGCGAAAGGAAAGAAAGGAACAGCACACGUGCACCAACAAGCACACGCAAUAAGUGGGGCCCAUUAUUUUUGGGUUUGUUAGGUUUUUACUAUAUUUUGAUGGCAAUUGUUUUGGGUGCUUAGGAUAAAGAGAAGAAGAAAUGAGAAUUGAAAUCUAAGACUUCAUUUUAUAUCCCUCUGCCCAUUUUACCCUUUUGAGUUAUAUAUAAAAUGAUUAAUCACCGAAGGAGGUAACUUAAAGAGGUUAUCGCGGAUCGGGUCAAGUUUGGGUUGGAUCGUAAUAAUUUUUUAGAUCCGUUUUAUAGGUUUAGGCUCGAUUUAGAUAAAAAAGUUAAAAUUCAGUUCGACCUGACCUGUAUUAAAAUUUUUUAUAUAAAAAUAAAUUUUAAAAAUAUAAUACAUCAAAUACACUAAAAACAUUAAAAUAAAAGUUUCUCAACAAAUUGAAAAUAAAUUUUAAAAAGUCACUAUACUUAAAUAACACAAAGAUAGGUGUAACUUAACAAAUAAAUGUCUCUAAAAUAGUAGUAAAAUUAACAAUAAAAUAAGAAUUAUAUAAUAUCCAAAUAAUAAUAACAAAACAGUGGCAAUAUAAUAAUAAAAUGAUAGCAAAUCAGUGGAAAAACAUCAAUUAUUAUUAUUUUUUUACAAAUUCGGACCAAGUCAGACCCGAGCCUUUUUUUACCCAAACCCUCCCAAUUUUUUGGCGGACCUUCUGACUGCCCAUGAUCAAGUCUCCAGUGAGGUAAGACUUAAAAAGUUAAUAAAUAAUUACAAACUAUAUUUUAUGUGUAUGCAUGAGGAAAUCACGUAAUUAGAAUGUAGAUUUAUGUUUCAAAAUAACAUAUAAUAAACAAUAAAAUGUAUGUUUAAAACUAAUUAAUAAUAAUGCAUUAAAUAUGUACGAUAUUAAAACAAUAAGAUAGAUUAAAUUGUAAGUAAAAUGAAUUUUAAACAUAUGAAAUCAUAAUAAAAUUAAAAUAUAUGUAAAAAUCAAAAUAAAACUUUUGUUUAAUGAUAAAUUUAAGAUUUUAUGUAUUAGCGUAGGUUCAAAUGCCACUAUAAAUAAUUUUUUAAUAAAAAAAUAAAAUACAUUUAAGUAAUAUAUCUUAUUUUAAAUAUAAAAAAAUAUAUUAGUAUAGAUAACCUACUUAAAAAAAGUUAAUAACAUAGAUUAAAUUUUUAAAAAAUGGAUUAAAAAUAAAUUAAUCGAAUAAGUUGAUUCGAGAAUCGAAAACAUACUCUAUCUUUGGUUAUUGUAUAUCAAUUCAACCAAACCGUGAAUCUUGACCAUUCCCAUCUUUGUGGGAUUCUUUAAAAAGGUUAAAACUGAAGUAGAAAUUGGAAUAUCUAUUUUUUAUAGGAGGAAUAUUCACGAAAAAAAAAAGCUAAAAUUGUGAAAACUAAAAAUAUUAAAAACAUUAAUGCUACGUUUUGUAAGAGUAUUAUUUUUAUACGUGUCGGUUCGCAACAAAUUAAUUUAAUUAGUAUUAUUUAGUUACUCCCGUGAAUUGCUUUUUAAAAUGGAGACGGAAUUUUUUAUUUGCUUAUUUUGAAUAGAUUAUAUCUUUUAUAAGAAUUAUUAUUCGCCUUUCUGAUUUCAAAUUUAAAUUUGUACUCACUAUUCUUUAUUUUAUAUCUAAUAACCAGACGAGGCAUGAAGAAAAUAAUUUUAAGAUGACGAGGGACUAAAAAUAAGAGAAUCAUAUAAUGUGGCAAAGAUGGCAAAGUCCAAACAACAAACGUAACUAGCGCAACUUGAACUCAGGCCACACCUAGGGCAACCAUUAACUAUUAGGCCAUCACAUGAUAUUCAUAUAUUGAUACAUUAUUGUGUCGUAUGAAUGUGUUUAUAUUUAUUGUGUAUAUUAUAUAUAAAAUUAUGACAUCCAAGAAUGAAGUAGAUUUAUAUAUGAAUGGAGUCGUAAUAAAAGAUCAUUAAAUUCGGGUGGGCACAAAUGAAAAAUAAAUAAUAAAAACGUUUUUAUUAAAAGGAAAUUUAUGAUUCUAUAAACGUUAAUAUAAAAAAUCAUAUUAACUCAUGGGUAAAUUAUCAAAAUAGCUACUUUUUUUUUUCUCUUAGGUUACAUUUUAGUCACUUAUAUUUGAAAUAUUACGUUUUAGUCACUUACGUUAUUGCGUUGUAACAUUUUAGUCACUAAGCGUUAAUUACAAUUAACGGUGUAUUGGUAAGUUGACGUGACACGUUAAAUCAUCAUUUCAAAUGAAAAUUUUAGGUUAAAAUAUACAAUUAGUCCAUAUAUAACUUUUCGUUUUGGACAAUUUAAUUUUUUUCCUUUUACGUUAAAAGAGAUGGAGAAGGGAGAAAAAUAGAGGGAGAAGCAGAAGAGAAUAGAAAAUAAAGAGAGAAAAAAAAAAGAAAAUUUAAAAGAACAUAAAAGAAUAAAAUAAAUUGCUCAAAACGAAAAAAUAUGGAGACCAAUUGUAUAAUUUAACCUAAAAUUUCUGUUUGAAAUGAUGAUUUAAUGUAUCACGUCAGCUUACCAUUACACUGUUAAUGGCAAUUAACGGCUCAAUGCCUAAAAUGUUACAAUAAGUUAACGUAAGUGAUUAAACCGUAACAUUUCCAACAUAGAUAACCAAAAUGUAACUUAAGGGAAAUAAAAAUGACUGUUUUGGUAGUUUACCCUUAAUUAAUUUAUUAUUGUUAAACCAAAAAUAAUAAUAAUUGGUGAAUUAAAAAGAGUUGGACAUAAAUAAAAGACAUUUUCAGGCGAGACUCGCACGCUCACAAAAGAAAGCGGUAAGAAAAGAUAAAAGAAAAAGGAGAGAUGAAGACAUAAAAGGAGACCCCCUUCCCCUUUAUUAUUUUGUUGUCAAUUUGAUUGUGAAAGAGAAUGAAUGAAUGCACAAAAAUAAAGUCAUAAUGACUAUAUUUUUCAACUUAAUGACCUUUUUUCUUUAACUUUAAACCUAAUAAUUAAAUCUAAGAUAUUAUUACAAUCUUUUAAUAUACAUGCCUCAUUAACUUGACGAUUUUUAAUUUAAAUUAUUAUUUAUAUAAUUUAUAUUGGCUACCGUCAAACUUUUACUAUAUAAUAAGGGAUGAUGAUAUAGUAUAAGAAAAUAAAUUUUAAAUUUGUUAAAUACUAUUUAAAAAAAAUUAAAUUCCAUGUUUAAGCAUAAUUAUUGCGAGUUUUUUUAGUAGAAAAAAUAUCAUUAAGUGAUUACAUCAAAUAUUUAAUCAGGCCCCUGUGAAGACACCACUAUCAGAAAGCAAAACCCCUUGUACUAGAGACAGGGAUUCCUCAAACAACAAUAAAAUCGAGGGACCUUUAUUCACGCACUUGACCAUUCAAUCAGCGACCACAUUUUGAGUUCUCGAUAUAUGAUAAAUUCUAAUAUUUUAAUCUCGCUUGAACAAGCUACUGAUUAAUUUAAUUUAAUUUAUUUUAGUUUUUGAUAGAUAAAAUUGAAUAUAUAUCAUAUUUAAUACUAUAUAUAUAAUUAUAUUUAAACAGCUAAAUAAUUUGUUGCAGCAGCUGUUCCCAGCCAUGAAAUUGCCAAAAAUGUUAGGCUGAUGCUCGACUUUUUGGGACCCAAAUGCAACAGUUUUUGAACUAACUUGCCGGCAUUACGCCAUUAUUUGACCAUUUUAUUUCUAUAUGUAUACGGGCUUCCUAUUAUUUCUUUGUUUUAUAACUAUAUUUUAAAUAUUAUUGUUUCUAGAAUAAAUUCAAUGUAUCUGCAAUAUAUUUUUUUGUUAAUUAUGAUGAAAAUUUAAGAAUUGUAUUUUUUUUAAUGAAGUUCAAUUUGAAUCACUGUAUAUUAUGUUCAGUACUUUCCCUAAAAUCCAUAAAUUGAAGGAGCUUAAAAGUGAGAAGCGAGAGGUUGAUUGAUUUUGUUUUUCCAGUGGAGAGAAGGGGACGGUAUACCAUUUAAUAGCAAUAGUAAACCCACAAAAUCAAAACGAAAUCUCAUUUGGUGAUCAACCUAUAAUGGGAGGGGCUUAUGAAUACGACAGGAUCUGCCAAUUUUUUCAAAGAUGUUUGAAGAAUUUAAUGAGCGAAAAUUAAGGAAUGGGGCCACUAUUAAUGUGCAUACAAGAAUACUCUUCUACUCCUGAAAAGGGCUCUAUUUGCUCUGGGAAUUCAACUCCCCUAUCCUCUUUCCCUCGUAUGUAUUAUGCACCCCUGGCCCUAAUAGAUAUCAGCACUUGAGUGCUGUGAUGCCAUCACUGUACUAUUCUUAUCCUUAAGCUUUGAAUGUAAGAAUCUCAAAUUACUUAAUUGAGUUGAAAUAAUUAUUUUUAAAAAAUUACUUAUUUUUGUUGUCUGAAAUUAUUAAUAUUAAUAUAUUUUUAUAAUUAAUUUGAAAUAAAAAUAUUUUUAUUAAUAAAUUAGCAAUUCGAGUUGCAAAAAAGUCUAUCUACGUGUUAGCCCAAGUUCAAAAAGAAAUCAUCUGGCUCAAAACAUGCCGUCACAAUUGGAGCAAAAAUUUACAUCACAUUGAACAAUAUCUCAAUUUAAACUCAAAUUAAACUUAAAAUAAAUCACAAAUGGUUGUGUUAAGACUUAAAUCUUCAAACACCUUAACAUUUCAACUAAACUCUUAUUAUUGUACAAUAUAAACCUUUUAUUAAUUAAACAAUUUUCCGUACAUUACAAAACUUUAAAUUUAGCUAAAGCUCAUUUAAGAUCGAACCUUGGAAUUUCAGUGGAUUUGGGGUUCACCUCAGUUACCAGAAUUGUUGGAGAAAUGGGCAAAAGGAUACCGAACCUAGUUCUAAUUACCAAGAUGAGAAAAUAAAUUGAAAAGGCAAUGUAAAUAAAUUACUAUAAGCAAAUAUUAUUAGAGGAAAACGACGCUGGAUUUACAGGGAAUUUGCUUCCUCUAUCAACAGCAUAAUUUUCACCUUGGAUUAUAAAUUAAAGGAACAUGAAAAUGAUUAACCAUUAUGAGUGCAACAAAAGAAAGAAAUAAAAAAGGAACGAAAAGUUGUAAUAAUUCCGAUCCUCUGUGUAAAUGGCUCAGUUUUCGUCUCUUUUAUCUUUACCCUUUUUAACUGUUAAACCUGUAAUCGAAUCUUUAAACCUUCUCGUCUGUUUCAGUAGAACCGAAUAAAUUGUCUGGUUUUUGUGAUUUGUCGCUUGGAGCUGAAUAAGUCCAACGCUCCUUUCCUCCGGGCUUGGAGGAGGCAUUACCAUACCAGAUCAUUCCUGCAACUGCAAUGACCAUACCCAGGAUUACAUGUAGAUUAAGACCUUCUUUGCCGAAGAAAAGGAAUCCUAAAAUCAGGACAAGAAUAGUCUUCAUAUGGCCAAGCACUUGGAAUGAUACGGCAGUAAACCGGCCGAUGCAGAUGAACUGGCUGAGGUUUGUACCAACGGCAAUGGUGCAUGAUAGGAUUAUGAAGAACUGCAAGCAAACAGAAUAUUGUUUACUGUAGUCAUGAUUGUCUGAAAGCAAAAUCUAUUAAUAUUCAUUACUGAACUCGCACAUGCACCAGGAAGCAGAGUUUUUACAUGUUAGAAGCAUCAUGAUCUCACUCAAUACAUGUUAGAAAGUUGGCUUGGCGAAGGGGAUAAGACAGAAGAAUGUGCACUUGAAAAUUCAAAAUAAGUAAGACAGUUGAAACUUCCAUAUUCUUAUUUGCGAAUCCUUGUAAUAACCAGAUGCAAGAACGUAAAUAACCUCAGUAUGAACUCUGCUGAGAAAUAGAUUAUCUCAAUUUCUUGCCAGCAAGCACAGGACUCUUUCUGGGUCUGUCAGGAAGAUCCUAUUGACUGCCUAUUUGGUCUAAUUAAUGUGGCAUAAUCAAGUAAAUAAACUGUUAUAGAAUACAAAAUCACAAAGUUUGUUCAGAUUACUUCAUUCCUUAUUAAAUGCGCUGGUGCAGAUGAUAACAACCAUAUUUGGGACUGCCAGCUAUAGCAAUUUUGCAAUGACAAUGAAGGACAUUUGGCAUUUUGUAACACUCAAAGGCAGCAGAUAAUAAGAGUGAAUGCUCAAACCAGACGGAAAUGCAUCCCUAAAUAUACCAACAUAAUUUAAAAGCACAAACAUGCCCAAAGGAAUUGAAUCAGCUGCAAUGACUUUUACCAGAAGGCAUGCUAGUAAAAUGGAGCAUUACUAUUACCAAAUAGAUUCUCGUCAACUAGGAUAAGAACCUUACCAUUGAUAUCGUAGUGUAGUUAUAGGCAUAGACCUUUUUCUCUGUUAACCAAUAGUCCACAAAAGGACCAGCUAACAGAAGGCUUGCAGCUUGUACCGGAGCAGUAUGUCCCAAUAAGUCAAAAGAUCCUAAAGAAUGCUUGCGUUGAAGAAAAUGCACAUACUGCAAAAGUAAUAAAUAUAUAAGAGAAAAGAAGAAAGACCCAAAAUAUCAAUCCAUGAACAAGAUUUAGGCAUGGCUGGUGUCUCAUUUAUGGAAUGGGUCAAACAUGACAAACCCAUUCAAAAAACUUGUUCAGUCAUAAAAAUAUAGAACAUUACUAUCAAAACCUUCCAAUAUGUUGCACCUUAGGUAAAAGCAUGAUUUCAUGCAGAUUUACUUACAUAUUGUUGCAGGGCUGUGCUCCAGACUGCAAUUACAGCAGCUAAAAAACCCUUGACGUUGACACUCACAUCAGUAACAGUGCAGACAGCAACUCCAAGGAGAACUAGUAAAAUGCUAAGUUUUGUAUCCCUUGAGUAGCGAACCUUGUCAAAAACAACUUCCAGAAAGCAAGAUACUGGAAUCAUGCUCAGCUUUGCUAUCUGAGAAUAAUUUGUAAAAGGAAUAUGACAACUUCCAAAAGAUCAAGCAUAGAAGAGAUAAUAAUCCAAGUAACGAAAACUGACCUGGUAGAAGCCCACAGAAUUCCACAUCAAACUCACAUUCAUUCCAACAAUAGAGAAGUUUGCAAACAAAACAAACUUGAGAAGAUCGGGUAAUGGUAUAUGAGAGUCCUGAAUAUAACCCAGCCAUCUAAGAAGAACAGUUAACAGGGUUGUAGUGGCAAAAUGCAAACCUGUUAAUGUUGUAGCUGCAGCACAGAAAUAAAUGGGACACAGCAUUAGUUUCUGGAUACGCAGUAAGUGUUGUUACAAUUUGACUUUCUUCAUCAUAAUUAACAGUCAAAAGAAGUAAUAUUUUUUAUAUGUAAGCUAUGUUUUGAUAUUUAAGGAAUCUGGGCCAAUCAAUGGGAUUUGAACCAAGAUAUCCAAGAUGGAGACCCGAUUUCUAACUGCGUGAGUGUCCACUUGCUGAAGUUUCAAACAAAAGCUGAAUAAGAAAACAUUUGUAAUGAAAGGCAACUUCUUAGUCAAGCAAACUCUAAAAAGUUUAUUCACUUCUUAACCCUCAUUUAUUCGUUAAGCUCUCCUAUUAGAAAGGCAUUAAACUCGGCAUAUUAGAAGUGCAAAAGUUCAGUUAAAAAUCUUCCAAUUAAUUUCUUACACAUGUAGCCAUUAUAAUUGUAUAAUAAUAAUAUUCGUCUAAACCUGAUUAGAUUCAAUAAGAGAUAAAACAUACCCCGUAACAGAAUUGCACAGACAAAACAGGAAUACAUCACGGAAUAACUUUGACCACCAAGAUAAGUCUAGAAAAUAUAUAAAACAUAUAAUUUUCCACAUGAACACCAUAUCUAAUACAAAAUAUGUUAUGUCCUAUACAUAAUGAUUUGUCAUAUAUCUACUUAUGAAGGUCACUUGAUUUUUCAUGUUUAUAAGAGUUACUUAGCCUUUCAAAAAUUUAGGCCUGUCUGCAUUUAGAAACUAUUUUCAUUUGUCAUCUCCACUUAUACUCUGAAUAUAAUUAACAUUAAAAAUGAAAAGAUCUUAUCGUUUGGAAAAUUGAAAAAAAAAAUAGCUCUCCAAUUUAUUUAUCCUCUUUCAAGUAUAAAGGCAAAAUGAAAAUGGAAAAUAAAAACUAAAAAUAUUUUCUAAAAUUUGGAGCCAAAAAUAAAUAAAAAUAUUUUCUAAAAAUAAUUUCCAAUUUAUUUAUCCUCCGUCCAAGAUUGAAGCCAAAAAUUUGGAAGAGGACAGGUUUAAAGUGGAAAUCUUUUAAGAUGGAUUGUUUGAAAAGUUUGUCAAGUAAUCUUUUAAAAUUCCCACUUUAAUGGUGAAUUGAAAUUUUCAAAAUUUUAUGGAUUUCUCUUUCAGUUUCCGUUUGUAAUCACAAAAACAACCUAAACAAAUGGGGAAAACCAAAUCAUUUAUGUAACUUCAUGACCUAAUACUUUUGGGACUUUGUUUCUUCCUCUUAGGUUGACCAUACAGAGUUGGACCCAUAGAGUAACAAGUCAAAUGGAAACACAAUGAACACAAAGUGAUAGAUCUAUUAAAUAUGUAAUGCAGACAAAGUUUAUCAAAGUUACCAGGUGAGAUGUUCAUUCAAAACGUACCAAAACUGAAGCCGUACGUAGCCAUCAAGGCUUUAUUGACCAUGAUUAUACCCACAGAUGUGACAAUAUUGAAAGACCAUGAGGCCACAUCCAGAGCUGUUUUCCGAUCAGCCUUGCUUACAGAUGACAUUUUUAACUUAAGUCUCCAAGUUGUCAAGCAGAGUCCUUGUUUCUCAAAUUUUCAUGCAAGCAAAAAUUAUGUUCCGUUGUCAAAAAAUCUGCAACUAUACAAAUGAGUUGAAUUGCUUAACAAGUAUAGCUUAUAAUUAUUCACAAUGAAAAGUUAAAGAAAGCACAAACUUGCAUUCUUGCAUCCUCUUGCAAUAAAGACAAUGGAGAAAGUUUCUUCUUUCAGAAAUAACAAGUAACUAGCAUAAAGAACUUUCAUUUCAGAAAUGACAGAGCAAAUAAAAAGCAGAAAAAAUACUAUAAACAUUAAACACAUUUUUCAGAACAAUCAUAGGAGGCUAUCAAUUUGAAAGAAAAAAAACAGGUAAAAUUAUAUCUCCCCAGCUCUUCUGAGCCGCCAAAUCUAGAAAUUCAAAUUUAUACUUUGAGAAUGAUUUAAAGAAGCUGGAUCUGGGUUUGGGCUGAAUCAACUCCAAAUUUAAGAUUUCAAAAAUUAUUUCCUAAGAUUCGUGAUUCUCAAACCGGUCCACUUAAAAUUGAACAGUACCUGCAAAUAUUUUACAUGAACUUACGGAGAACAACAUCCAGAAACUGGUUGUUAGGGUGAAAGAGCCUCGGUACGUAUAAACUCCCCCAAAAAAAGAUCUUAUACUUUCCAAUGUGGGAUCCAUGUCCCAUACCUUAUUCUCGGCACAUAUCAAACUUCUCAGGUUAAAUAGUUUCAGAUUCAAUAAUUUUAAGUAGGUCAGAAAAUUUUGAUAUCCAAAUUCAAAUUAAGUUCCCGAAAUGAACCAAAGAAAUGUCUGCACUUUAUAGUAAACGGCAGAGCAGCCAGAUUUCGGCACUCGAGCAGCUUUAAUAACAAUAACCAUAUAAAAGAAAUGACGAAACAAAGAAACAUAACAAUUAACAAAUGCUUUUUUUCUUAUCUAAAGCCGUCUUUAUAACAUCUGUUAACUGCUUAUUCCAUUAAAACCUAAACAACUAACAAUAAGUCCUCCAUCAAACAAAAUUUCUUUUCUUAUUUGGGCCCGGAUUUGGCGCAUUUUCAUUUAAUAUAAAAAUAUGAAGGGAAUUGAAACCAUUCCAGCUACAUGUAUUUGACCUGUUUGCUAAGAUCUAAGUAUAUAAUAAAAUAAAUACUAAUUUUUUUUUUCAGUUCAAGGAAUGAAUAUUUUACGCAUUUACUAGAAAAUAUACGAUACUCAUAUUAUUUUCGAAAAAUUUGAGAAAUAUUUUACUAUUUAUAAGUAGAUCCGUCGCUCUUUAAAGCUUUACCUAAUUAAGUUUAAUUUCUAAAACAUAAUUUAAAAAAGAAGAAGCAAUUUCAAUCCAAAUAUAACAAAUAAAUGAAAAGUACAGGAAAAAACACGUCAAAGCAGAAUCAAAAUAAAUAAAUAUUUCGUUAAAGGAAUCAAAACAACAAAGAAAAUUCGCAAUAUACAAAAAAGAAAACAAAAUCGAAUCGAAACGUAAUUAGAAAAGGGAAAGAAAAAUCCGACGAAAUGAACGGAAGCAAAAAAAAAAAAAUUGAACGAACCUGAGAAAAUAAGAAGAGAGUCCAAUGAAGUCCUCUCGAGAUUCGCGCCGUGAAUAGGCAAAGCUAUUCUGCUGCUAUUGCUAUACCUUGAUUUCAAAUGAGUUUUGAUUCUUCUCUCGCCAUUAAAGAAAUAGAGAGAGAGAGGGCGAGCGAGCGAGAGAGUCGUAGACUCAAGAGAAAGAAAAAUAAAAAGUUUGUCUUAAUUUAUCUUAGUAGAAGACAACUAAAUAAGUACUUAAGGUAUGGUUAUGUAGUUACCAAAGCGAAGGUUCCUUUUUUAGUUUUUUAUUUUUUAUAUUUCGGCAAAUUACAAAACGAACUUCGUAAAAUGGAAAAUCUGUUUGCAUUGCUUUGUUUUUUUUAUUGGGUCAAAUAUUGCUUUGAUUGUUUACAUAUGUUUACUUUUCUAGGUGGUUUGUAUUUAAUUUGGGUUAAUUAAGCUAUUUUUAAUUUAAGUUUAACGUUUUUUUCUUAUAAUUUGUUUGUAUUUUGUUUAAUUUCGUUAAAUAUUUUUAAAUGGGUAAAUUGCAAAAAUAGUCACUUUUAUUUACCUCAAAUUACAUUUUAGUCACUUAUGUUUGAAAUGUUACGUUUUAAUCACUUACGUUAUCGUUUUAAAUGCCAAUUUGGAUGUCCUACGUGUAGUCCAAAUUAAAUUUAUUUGAUUAAAAACAUAUUUUUAUCCAGCAACUAGACAUCCAAGUUGACAUUUAAAGCUCAUUUGGAUUGCCAUUAGGGAGAUAACAGAGUUUAACAGUGGAGUGACCAUUUCGUAACAAAACGAUAACGUAAGUGACUAAAACGUAACAUUUCAAACAUAGAUGAUUAAAAUGUAAUCUAAAGCAAACAAAAAUGACGAUUUUUGUAGUUUAGCCUUUUAAAAUUAUAUAUUAAGUUUUAUCCCUUUAAAAUUAAGUAUGGUUAAAGAGAAACUAAAGGCAUCUUUAGAUAGAUAUUUACCUCCAAUUUGAUACUUUUAGCUUUCUUUUAGUUUUUACAUUAACUACAAAUAGACGUCCAUCUAAAGAGGCCUUAAGACAAAAAAACAAAAAUUAAGUGUGAUUCAGCUCGUUUAUAAAACUUAUUAACGAGCAAUAACUAAAUCAAUUUAAAUAAACAAUAUAUGUAAGUGUAAGAUAUAAAAUAAUAAAAAAUUCAAUAUUACUAAGUAUUAUAUUGCAAUAAAAAAAUAAAUUAUCUUUGAACAAUUUAUUAAAUGAUUUUUACACAAUUCAUGAAAGAACUUCUCCAUGAAAGUGAACAUAAUAUAUUUGUAAUAAAUUAUUUAGAAAUCAAUUUAAUAUAUUGUUUAAAAUGAAAGGAAGUUAUUAAAUUAUGAUAGGAUUAAUAAUGGGGAAUUUGGAAAAAAAAAUUAUUAAUAAGGCCGUCCUUCGUAAAUGUCAUUUUCUUCAGUCCAUUAUUUAAUAUCCUAUAGGAGCUCCGCAUGAAAGUGUUUGUUUCAUUGUUUCUUGUUUAUUAUUAUUGUCAAAUGUGACUUGUUUUUAUUUUCAAUAAUUAUUUGAUUUCUCUGAUGAAAAUUUUCAUUAAAAAGCAUUUAAGUCAUGGAUUCUGAUAAAAUCAUAAAAACAAGAAAGAAACAUGUUCCAUAAAACUAUUUUACCCACCUCUCCGAUCCAUUUUAGCCAAAACUUGUGAUAAUUUUGCUUAUAUCCUAAUGCGUAUAAAAUUGACAAGUUUUUAUUUUAUCCCUUUUUUUUUAUCAUGUUACUUUGAAAAAUGUUGUUUUUUUCAUCGAGAAUGACGAAAAAGAGUUUGCUGUGAAGAUAGGGAAAAGAUUAUUCUACUCCUUUUAGGCCUUCAAUCUUGGCUUAGCUUUUGCCAAAAGAUACUCGACACGUUACUUACCAAUAACACAAUGUUGCAUAAAAUGUCAACUAAUACAUUUUUGGUAUAAUGAUAAAUUUAGUCCUUAAUGUUUACUCAUUCUUUUUUUUUCUGAUUUUUAUUCCUUUUCCUCGUCAUUUUGGUCCUUAACUUUUAGAUUUUAGUCAAUUUGCUUACUUUUGGAUGGUAAAAUUGACUAUACUGUUAAAAUUUUAACAGAAUUGAUGUGGCCAAAUUGUGUGGCAAUCGAUAUAUAAUUCAUAAAAAAUUAAAAAUUAAAAAUUCAACAAAUUUAAAAAAAUAUAUAUAUAUAAGUUUUUAGAAAAUUAUCUAUGUUAGCAAUAAAGUAUACUAGACUGUCACACGAACUACCAUGUCAAUUACAUUAAAAUUUUAAUGAUUCAAUUAGGUUUUCCAUUAACAAAAAAGGCAAAUUUACUCAAUUUUGAAAUUUCAGGACUAAAGUGAUCUCAACAAAAAAAAAACAAAAAAACAAAAGCUAAAGUGAUAGAAUGGGUAAACGUUAGGAGCUAAAUUUGUCUUCAUACCUAUAUUUUUCAUAUACAGGUUAAAGAAAAACAUCCUCAAUUUUUUUUUAUGAUCAAUAUAUUUUUCAUAUAUACUUUGUGGUUAGUGAAGAUUAAUCCUUUUUGUUGUCAUAUUGAGGGUUUGGACAUAAUUUCUCUCAUUAAAAGUGCAAUGUGACUUGCUAUUACACACAACACUUAUGUUGCUUAUAAUAUAUUUUUUAAAAAUAUUCUAGAUUGUAAAGCUUUUAUAUGUGAAUUUUUAUUGUGAAGUUAAAGCUUUAGUUUCCAUUCAUAUGCAUGUGUAUAUGUCACGAAUUGAAGCUCGUGACGAAUGUAUACAAAACGUCCCAUGCAGGUUAACUAAUUAAAUGAGACUCAUUUAAUCCACUUGAACUGGCUUGAUUUGUAGAACAUGCAGAGAAGCUCAUCUAUUUGAAGCCUUGGUGGCCUAGUAGAACACUCUAGUAAAACUGGAGUUACCAUGAUGAAUAUUGUAAAUUCUCAGUGAUAAAAUUGUAUAAAGUUUAAAUCUCUUAGGAAGAUAGUCUUUAAUCUCAACUAUCGAUGUAAUUUAAAUUGUACUAUUAAAUUUGGGGGAGAUCAACUAUAAAUAGAGGUUUUUCCCCUUAUUUGUAAUCAUUCUGUUAUAAUUAUUUGAAGUAAUAAAAAACACUUUUAAAGCAUUAACUCAAACACUUUGUGUGUUUACUUUUCUUGUGAUUUUUUUGUUCGUUUUUUACUUCUCUGCUUAAGAGUUUGCUUCCGCUUUAUUUUGGUGUCUUAGAGAAUUCCCUUUAUAAAUUCACACUUUCGAGUGUUAGGUUGACUUAAACAAAUUUAAAGCUGAGUUUCUGUUUAAGGCCAUACGGUUUGCGAGACUAAAGUUCUAACAUUAUGACAACGUGUACAUAUAUAUUAUUUAGGGUUAUUAUAAAAUAAAUGUAUAUUGAAAAUUUUAAUUUCACGGACUUAUAUUAUAUAAUUUUUUUAUAAAAAUUAAAAAUAAAUUUAAGACAAGUGAUAUCUUUUAAACUCCGCCAAUAUAUCAUAUGAUAAUAAUUCGUAUACAUGUAUGCAUGUUUAUUUAUAUUAAGAUAGUUUAUGACAUUCUCUCAUUGAUCUAGUGGCAAGAGCAAGGAAAACAACGUUAUAUUGUAAGCAUGAAAGCUUGAAUUUAAUUCUAAAUAAUCUCAUUUUCUUUUAUUAAUUAUUAAUAAAAAAAUUGAUCGCGCAUUGAGAUUUUUCUUUAUUAAAAUAAUGGGUGAAUGCAACGGCUUAGGCCUCUCCACCACCUAAAGAGAUAAAAUUAUUUUUAAGGUACAAAUAUAAUGAAAAAAUUAUUUUUUUUGCUCUGAAAAUUUUAUAAUUCAAAUUUCUAAAAUAUAAAUAUAUUUAACUUUAUAUUUUAAGAGAGAAAAUGAAAAGGCAAGCUUGGAUCAAACUCAUCACAUGCACAUUUACGUUUUUGUCCAAACGUGGCAAAUGGAUUCGGACAGAGUGCAAAUGAAGUCCGAUAAAUUCGUCAAGAGUCAGUGCCUUUCAAGCUCACGAAUAAUUCUUUUUCUUUUGCACGUUUAAAAGAAGGAAAGGUUCCAUAGCUGAAGUCAGAAGCAUUCGAAAGGGAAACAUGUGUGCUUACAAAUGAAUUUAGUUUUAGAAAAAAAAUUAAUAAAUUUAUAUUAUAUUUAAGUUAAGAUGUAACUUAUUGUUGAAUUAAAUUAAAAUCGAUCUAUAUUUGAGCAUCGUAAUUUUCGUGAGUUUAAUUAAAAUUUUUAAAAUUAUUGUUGAAAAAAAAUCAGAUUUUGAUCUCAAGGUUAAGCUGGCACCAAUAAACUCAGUAAAAGAAAUUCGAUUAAACCUCUAAUCUUUCAUUUAAUCGAUUCCAUCCCAUUCUAACAAGUAACAAUUAAUUAUUUUAAAAGGGCUUGGAUCUCAACUUCGCUCUUUAAUUAUGGAUUUGGAUGAUUUUUUUUUAGGAGUGUAAAUAUAAAUAUGACAUAUAUUAUUAAAUAUAUAAAAUCUUAAUAUAAAUCAAAUACAUAUUAAUGGCAUUUAAACAUUUUGUGUUCUAUAUAUUAUAUUAUUUAUAUUUUUGUUAAAUACAUGGGGAAGCUAGAAAAUUAGUUUAGGAUGAAAUUUUGAGAAGUGUAAUUUUAUUAAUGUUUUAAUUUAUAAUUUUAUAAUUUUUAAAAGGGGUAAAUGCAGUUUUUUCAUUUGAGGGGCAAUGCUACAUUAUUAAUUAAAUAUAAUUUGCUAAAAAAAUAUGAAAUCGAUUAUGUUAACAGAUGUAUCAAAAAGUUUGAUCAAAUCCGAUUAAAGUUAAACUCAUAUAUGGUAAUAAUAUUAUAUAUAUAUAUAUAUAUAUAUAGUUAUUUAAGUUCUUUCUACCUCGAAACACUAAUCUCAAAAUUUGUCAAAAUAAUAAGUGACUUAAAACCCAAUGUUUGAAUUAAUUGGAUUGGAAGCAAUUUUAUUUUGGUUGAAAGGUUGAAUUUGGGUUUUUUUUCUUGUACUCGAAGUUAAAUGAGCCCUCUAAUUAACGAAGUGAUUAACAACGAGAAUUAUGGGACAAUUUCCUACUAACCCUUUAAGAAAACCAUUCAUAACAAAGUCGAUUAUUGGGGUUAAUAGUUGGAAUGCCACAACUUCAAAAUAAGCAGAUAACUAAACAACUCCUUAAACAAUGAUAAACUUUCUCAACCUUAAGAAAAAAAAAGUUUUAAACUUCAUCAGAUAAUUAAACAAAUUAAUUAAAUCCCUAAUUAAAAACUACAAUAAAUUGAGUUCUUAAUUGAAAGUUAAUAAUCACUUGAGCUAUUAAAAUAUAGUAUUUCAUAAAAAUUCUGGAUAGAAGGUUAAGUGGCUAUGUGAUAGUUGAUGUGGUGGUUGACACACAAAAAAAAAAAUGAUGACGUAACGCCUGACAAGGCAUUAGAUAUGAAAAAAUAUUAAUGUUGAAGGCUUAAUUGAUUUUUGGAACAUCAUCCAACUAUCAAUGCAUUUUAUAUGGGAUCUAGACUUGAAUUGAAUAGUUGUUUAUUAGUUUCCAAUGCAUAUUGAAACGCGUUCAGAUUUUAGAACUUAAGUUAUGAUUGUUUUAAUAAAAUUGCACGAACAUAAAUUUUUGGAUAAAUUCAGUUCGGGCUUCUUAAAUUAAAGACUUUAAAAAUCUCUUGAAUCACUAAUUGUAUUUCUUUAAGCUUAAGCUUUAAAGUUUUAUAUUAUUUAAAAGUAUAUUUAAGAGAUUAAAUAUUUUUUAUUCAUAUAAUUAAUUAAGAUCUAUAAAAUCAAAUGUUUAAUUAAUCUUUUAGGAAUUAUAUUGUUUUUGAACUUGACCAUUCAAAGGUCUCACAGUACAAAUUUAUCGUUUCUUUUACAAGUUUUUUUUCGAUAGAAAGAAACGACAUAUUGCGAUUACAGAAAAAUAAAAAUAUUAAAGUAUAGCAGCAACAACAUUAUUUUGAUCAUCAAAUAACAACCCCAAAACUGAACUUGGAGGAUCCUCAAAUAUUAGCAUAUUAUUGUUAUAAUCAUUUGCAAUCUUUGCCAUAUGAUUGACAACUUUAUUUUGGGACCGAGAGAUAUGACGAAUCCAUACACUCCAAUUACGACAUAGGAGCUGAUGAAUUAGUCGUAAUUCCUGCAAAUUGCUACUGACCGCACCUCCAGUUAGGAGAGUCUCCAUCAAAAUGGCGUUAUCACAUUCUAAAUUCAACUGUCUAAAACCCAACUUAAAUUAAAAAUUUAGAGGAUUUCGCAUCCUACAUAUAUUUUAAAAAAACACACAUUUAUUUAUUACACUUCUUUAGAUAUUAAAAAGAAAAACUAUCAUGUCAAUUUCACAAUUUCAAAUAAGUUUAACUUAUAUCUUCAAAAACUACUCAGCACCUCGAAUAAUUGGAAAUAUAUCAUGUCAAAUUUCUGGUUUUUAGAAAUUAAUCAAUUUAAUUUUCUUUCAUCUUAGUUUAGACUACCCUUUUUAAAAAAAAAUUAAUUAUGCUUUGACAUUUUACCAUAAAUCAAAAAUUUUAAACACAUACAUAAAUGCCACAUCAAAUUAAGCAAUAAUAUGAAAAAAAGUCUUAUUUAAUACAUAUGUUUUAAAAUAACUAGACAUAUAAUUAGUACAAAUUUAAAUUUGAAAUUAGAAUGUUAAGUAAAUUUUUUUUACAAAAAAUAAGAUAUCUUUAAAAUAAUUUUUUCCUCAUGUUCUUCAAAAAAAAAAAAAAGCACGUGAAUACUAAAACUCACCAACUAAAAUUAAUUCAUUAUUAAUACAUGUAUAUUGAAAUAUGUUAAAAAAUAAUAUUUUUACCAAACAUUGCAUAUGAAAAAUAAUAUACGCAAUGGAUCCUCAGACCUAAUUUUAAAGAAGCUCAAACCCCAAAUCUGAAGUUGCUGGACUCGUUAUUCCUUUUAAGCUGUGGUCUGGGCUGAAGCCUUGGGCUGUUACUUCUUCCUCUGUUUUUUUGGAUUCAACCGGACAAUAAAAAAAUAUUUUAAAAUUUAUUUUUUAUAUAAUUUCAAUAAAGAAAUGCAAAAAAUUAUGAAAAUUACAAAAUAAACAAAUAUUUUAAAAUUAUUUUUAAAAAUUUAUAAAAUAUAAAAAAUUCUUAAAAGAAAUUACUUCAUGAAUGAUAAUAAAGUCCCCUAAAAUUUGAGUUACUCGUUCAUUCCAUAUUAAAUUAAAUUUGAACAAUAUUUUAAAUCAGAUUAAUUAUAUAAAAUUUUUAAUGUAAAUUUAAAUAAUUUUUAACUUUGAGUAUUUUGUUGUUGAUUUUAUAUAUUUUUAAAUAAAUUUUUUAUUGUCUGUCUCGUAAUAGUUAUUAACUUAACUCGCUCCAUCAAUAAAUAAGUAUUUUAGAAGGAUUUUUGAGAAAUAGAUAAUUUCUAAUAUAAAAUAUUUGAAUAUAUUUAGAUUUAUAUAAUGGUUACUAUUUAUGUAAUUAAUAAAAAUUUUUAUUGAGUUAAUAUCAAGGGUUAAUCGAGUGUCAACUGGUUAGAAAAUUACUAUUAUACUAUUUUAUUAAAUUACUACUAUUAUUAUUUUGACGGUCUUUUUAUUUUUUCAUACUUUUAUAUAGUUUUUAAAUAAAAGAACUAAAAAUUAAUAUAUCUUAGGAUUAAACCUAUGUUUAAUAGAGUUAUAAAUAAAUUAUUUACUAGAACCUUGUGUAAUGGUUUGAUGGUUAAAGAUGUUUAUUGCCUUAAGUAUGGUCUGAGUUCAAAUUGCAUUGGUUAUUUGGGUUUUAAUUUUAUUUUCUUAAAAAUAACUUGAUAUUUAAUUUUUAAAAUAUAUAAUUUUAAUUUUGAAAUUUCUUUACACAGACUUUUUAUUUUAAUUUCGUAAAUAUUAUAUACAUGUUGUUAUUAAUAUCAGUUUCAAACCUUAAUUUUUAUUAUUUAUUGUAUCUAAUUACUAAAUACACAUCUAUAUUUUAAAAUUGUAAUUUUUACAUAUAUACAUAUGAUAAUAUUUCUAGUAACUUUAUAAAACUUUUAAAUAAGUUUAUUGAUUAAUUAUGUCAUGCAAACUUAACCAUCAAUAUUAAGAUUGAUAGACUUAAGAGUGAAAAUUGGAAAAAGGAAAAGGAAAAGGAAAAGGAAAAGAAGUUGUGAGCGAGGGGUAGGGCAGACGAAGGUGGGAUCCAGUAAUCCAAAGAGGCCAGACACGUGUAAUCCACGUGGCAAAAUAUCCAAAGACUGAAGCCUCUUCCGCUGCCCAGCUCUCACCAUUUUGCAUAUACUCUCUUUAUUCAUUGUUUUCUCCAAUUCUCGCCACUUUUUCUUUUUUAUUUAGCCUUCAAAUUCAGAUCCUCUCUAAUUUUCCUCUGAUUCUUUCUCAUUGUUAGGGUUUAAUUUUCNNNNNNNNNNNNNNNNNNNNNNNNNNNNNNNNNNNNNNNNNNNNNNNNNNNNNNNNNNNNNNNNNNNNNNNNNNNNNNNNNNNNNNNNNNNNNNNNNNNNCACUGACCACCACGCGUCUCUCUUCUACGCGGUCGACGUCACGCUUCGUUGUCUCUCUCUUUCUUUGUUCUUACUUCUCUCUCUCUCUCUCUCUCUCUCUCUCUCUCUCUCUCCCUCUUCUUAUCUUAUAUCUCUAUAUGACUGUAUCUCUUUAUUAAGUAUGAUUUAGUUGUUCUUGUGUUUGGAUUUUGAAACAUGAUUACUUUUAGAACAACGGAAAAUUCAUUGUAAAUAUGAUUUAGUUUUGGAAGAAUUAAAUCAAGUUAGUAUUUGAUCGCCGAAUUGUUUAUGAAAAUUUUGUUGUAAUUUGGUAAAAAGGUGUCAGAUUUGUUUUUUUUCUGGUAAUUUAUGUCUUCCCCUUAGAGAAGUUGAAAAUUUAUGUUAAUUUCAGUACCAUUGUUGAAAAAUUAUUUAAUUUCCCUGCCGUGUAAUUGUCGUUGGGAUUUUAAUUUGAAGCUUUGGAAUGCUGUUUGAUGCUUAUCAGAAGUUAUUUCAUCUUUAUUAGCUUAAAAUAAUGAUUUAUUGGAACAGCUAUUGUUGUUAAAGGAAAAAAAUAAAUUAAAAUAUUUAAUACGAAAAUACAAAGGAUUUAUUUUAAUUUCUAUUUUGAUAUUUGCUUUUUGCGCUUUCAGAAGCGAUUAGUGAAGAUUGCAUCUGGAUAAAAGUUAUAAUGUAAUUUAUUUUGAAUAACAACAUUAUUAAUUUUAAUUUUAUAUAAACAAACUAAAUUAUGUUAUAAAUAAUGUUAUGUUUUAGUCAUUUUUCUAAUUUUUUAGCAAAUUACAAAUAUUUGAUUCUAACAUUCCUUUGCUUUUAAGUAACUUUUUAGGAAUCCAGAAGCUAGUGAAAAUCCAAACUGAGAGCAAGGCUGUGCCAUCAUGUUUUAUUAUGCUGACAGAAUAAGAUAAAACAGUCACAUAUGUUACAGAAUGAUUACUACUUUAUAGAAAGAUUGUCGCAAACUAUGGUUCUCGGGUUUGGUUUCUGUAAGGAUUAGACAUGAGUAUGUGCCCACAUGGUUUAUUAAAUUUUUUCAGAGAUUUUCAUGUAUUUUUAGGGUCCGAAAAGGAUCAUACUCUAAUACAUAUCUGAGCAUGCGUAAUAAACUGGUGUCAGACAUGGAUGCCAAGGAAAAGCUGAUGAGUCGGAGUAACAUAGGUCAAGUUUAUGCACUAUUGAAGAGACUUUAAACCCUCACUGUGGCUAUUUAGAAGCUUCACGGUGGAUUCUUUAAGCUUCUCAAAGCAGUCAUAGCUUAUGACAUGCAACAUUGAUGACUGUUGGCAAGCACACACGCCCAUUUUGUGUCUUGUUUAUAUAAAGAAGAGAACAAUCUUCUGAACUCUUGAUCACGUGUUUCUCACAAUAGUUUUAUCUGCUUCUAAUUCUUCACCCCAGUUAUGUAUUUGGUGUGUUAAUUUAUCUUGAAUUUCACAAUUGACAUAUGGUAGAUUUUCAUUCUUGCUUUUACAAAUUUGGCCCUGUAUUCUUGCUCUGAGUUGUCUCUAGUGUAUGUUAUGGAAAAUUGAGCAUAUUUUUUCUUGCUUUUACAGUUUUACCUCACUGAUGAAGAAAUGUUUCCCUAUGACUGUAGCCCUCUAUUGUUAAAUAUUUAUGCAGCCUCUCAUUGGCUUUUAUGUUUGAGUUAUAUAAUCACAUUUUCUUGUAUUCCUAGUUGGCUUUGGUAUUGCAUCUAUUAAAUAUAUCCUUCCCCUUGUUUCUCACAGGAGAAACUUUUUCAAUGGAUUUUGGGGCAGCAAGAAGAAGGAUCAAGGGUGACAACAGCUGACAUAGUUGCUUAUUUGCAGGUAUCUUCGGUGAUUUCUUGCACUUCUUUGUUCUGAUGAAUAUGUUUGGUGAAGGAAUCUUUUAAGGAUUUUCUUGAGAAAUUUUCUUUUCUGUAGAAUGAACUUGAAUAUGGAGCAGAGGAGUCUCCGAUGUCCCCCAGGCUAUCAUUUCAGCAGCAGCAACAGCAACACCCUCAAACUGCAAUGCACAUGAACACUUUAAGUGCUCCUUUUUCAUCUACACCAAUUUCAGCGUCAACAGAUGGACAAGGAGUUCGUUCGGGGGAUUAUCGAGGGAGCCUUCAGCACUACCACUCAGUCCACCACCAGGUUGGUUUCCAUUCAAAUAAUGUUGUUGCAUCUUCUUUUGCUGCCAAUAGACCUCGAAACCAUGAGACCAAUUGCAGUCACCAACAGAAUGGGGGAGGCAAUUCCUCAAUCAGCAAUGAUUGCAUGGACAUGCCUAUGCAUGCUGAGAGUCCAGUCCAUGCACUACCUUUCUGAAUUUCGCUCUGCUUAUGUAAUCGGUCCCUUCCAUAAUUGUUUCUUUCUUCUGGUUUAGAUUUAUUUGUUUUAAGGUAUAGGAAACUCUAAAUUCUCUGCAAAUGUAUUGAGGUUAAAUGUUUAUGUAUCAUUGUAUUAUAUAUUUCUUCAAGGUAGAUAUGGCAAUUUGUUUACAUGUAUCUUAAAUAUAUAUAUGUAUAUGUAUAUCAUGUGAUACUUGUAUUUAAACUAUGUUAUAUUUGAGCUAAUUAUAUUUGUGUUUUAAACCACCUGUGGCUCCAAGGCCUUUACCCUUCCAUUUCUAUUAUGACCAAAUUUCUCCUAUCAACCAGACAAUUUUUAAAUGAGAUAAAGGUAAAAUGUACUUUCAACCCAGAUUUAUACGGCAAAAUGCAGGUAAGUUAUCUGUGUCACAUGCUAACAAUGAUUGUCGGUGUGUUGGAAUGUUAGUAGAGCAGUGGAUUGUUGAGUGAAGUUCCUUCUUGGCUUGGAGCGAUGCUAACUAGCAAAGAGCUAUGCGCCGACUGCCGAGCGAGUGUUAGUUAUCUUCGAGUGUCGGACGAAUUCAGGAUUUUUGUGUGUAUCAAAAUAAAAUAGCUUAAACUGCAUUAGUGGUUCUCAAUGUUUUUCAGUCUAAUAAACCGUUUGCUUGGUUUAAACACUGAUUUUUAUUUUUUUUAUGGAUUAACUACUUAUUUGUGUAAUUAUAUUUCGGUUCUUUCACUUUAACUGGUCGAUUCGGUAAGAUUUUGGUAACAUUAUUUUGUGAAAAGCUAAAAGUAUAAUAAUAUGACUAAAUCAUUUAUUCUCAAAAAGAUAUAAUCAAAUCAAGAGAGGCACCACUGACAAAUAAAAAAUAAAAAAAUCAAGAGAGGCCAGCCAAAGCCCUUGAUUGACUGCCCCUGGGCUCGCCUAGAGUGAGAAGUAGACCUGUCCAUGGGCGGCCCGGCCCGGCCCGGCCCGACGGCCCGUCCGAAAUAUGAGAGGGUUUGGGUAAAAAUAUAGGCCCGAAAUAUGGGUUUGGGCAAAAUUUUAGGCCAGUUUAAAAAAUGGGCCGGGCCUCGGGCAAGAUUUUUGGCCCGGUCCGGCCCGAAAAAUAUUAAAUAUAUAUUUUAUUUUUAAAAUAUAAUAGUUUUUUAUUUUAAGUUUAUUUACUUUCAUUGACUAGUGUUACAAAAUAAUAAUAAUAAAACAUCAAGUUUGUUUUACUAAUCAAAUGUUAGAUUUUGUUACAACAAUUAAUACAAUUAAUACAAUUAAUAAUUUGAUAAAUUUACUAAUCAAAUGUUAGAUUUUAUUACAACAAUUAAUACAAUUAAUACAAUUAAUAAUUUGAUAAAUUUACUGAUCAAAUGUUAGAUUUUAUUACAACAAUUAAUACAAUUAACAAUUAAUAAUUUGAUAAUUUUACUAACAAUUAAUUUUAAUAACAAAUAGUUUUAAUUUUAUUAACAAAAUAAUUUUAAUUUUAAUUUUAAUUAAAAACGGGCCGGGCCGGGACGGGCUCGGGCCCCAUAUUUUUUCUUCGGGCCGGGCCUGGGUAAAAUCUAAGGCCCAUAUUUUGGGCCGGGCCCAAAUCUAAUAAACGGGCUGAAAUUUUUUGUGAGCCCGGCCCAUGGACAGGUCUAGUGAGAAGGAAUACCUGUAUUGUUAGGAGUUCAUCAGUUUGCACUGUUUAUGAGAACUAUGUCCUCAUGUUAUGUUUCUCGACAAAAAGCAUGUGUUUCCUAUACACCAAAGGUGGGAUAUAUAUAUAUAUAUAUAUAUCACAUUCCAUUUUUAUAUGUUUGAAACAAAUAUAUUUCAUAGAUUUGAAUUUUGAAUAUGAAUGUGUUGUGUAAAACUAUUAAUAUCUAGAUAACAUAUUUUUUCGCAUUUUUAAAAUUAAUUUCACAAUAAUUUAUCUAAAAAUUGUAGAAGUACUUCAUUUUUUAUUAAGUAAAGCAGGAGGUUGGGUUGAGUGAAAGGUGUCAAAGAAAUAUUGAAAAUGGAUUGGUUGCAUAUGGUUAAGAUAUUAAUUGCAGGUAUUUGAUUUGAUUUUUAAAUUCACGGGUUUCUAGUUAAAUUAAUUUUUCUUAUCUACAAAUAAACAUUAUAGAUUUAAAAUAAUAAAAAUAACUAAAAUGUUAUAUAAUUAUUUUUUGAAUUUAAAAAUCGAUAAAAUAAAUUAUUUUUAACCGAUCAAGUUCAAUUCGAAUGAAUUUUAUUUUCGUAAAAUAAAGCAUAUAUUAAAUUUGAUUUUUUUUUUUUUAAAUUACUCCUAGCAAACGGGACAUAGCUAACCUUUGUGAAGUGCGAUGGCCAAUGAAAGAGAGCAGUCCAAUCGGCAAAAAGACCGGGACCAACUCUGGAAGUGAAACUGAAUUUCGUUACUAUUUUUUUUCCAUUAAAAAAAAAUCCUUAAUUCUCAUAUAACUCAUCGUAGUAGUAGUAUUUAAGAACAAAACAAUAUCUCCAUCGACAAAAAGAACAAAAAAAAAAAAAAAAGAACGACCGUUUCACCAGACCCGACCUUUUCGCCUGUGCUUUAAACUAUCUUUAUGGAAAGUUGCUUUUAUUAUUCAAACUUCAUUUACAGAUAUUAAUUGCAGUUUUAAACCAUUUUUUCCUUAAAACAAGUGUUUGAUUUCAGUUUCAUUGUUUUUUUUUAAUGUAACUAUAAAACCCAACAUAAAUCCAAACCCAGAACUUUGUUUUUACUUUUGGUUUGGUCGUUGCGUUUUUGAUCUGAUUGGAAGAAAAGAAAAGAAAAGAAAAAGUGAGAAUGGAUAGGUACCAGAGAGUGGAGAAGCCAAAAGCAGAGAUUCCAAUAAUCGAAAACGAAAUCAGGAUAACCACACAAGGCAGAAUAAGGAAUUAUAUUACUUAUGCUACUACUCUACUCUUAGUAAGCUCUCAUUUUCUUUCUUCAUUUCAUGGUUUUUACUUUGUGUGUGAAUCUUAUUGAUGAAAUUACAUUUUGUGUAGGAGAAAGGGUCCAAUGAAAUAGUUCUUAAAGCAAUGGGAAGAGCUAUUAAUAAGACUGUGAUGAUUGCAGAGCUAAUCAAGGUAUAAACAUCGAAAGAUUAUAUCUUUCAGAUCGCUAUUCUCCAACUCAAGACAGGUCUAAACUAGUAGAUUUCUCCAUACAUUGUAAUGUUAAAAAGCUUUUUCUUUUUGCAGAGGAGAGUUGCUGAUCUUCAUCAAAUUACUUCUAUUGGUUCGACUGAUAUUACAGAUAUGUGGGAACCUCUAGAAGAAGGCUUGCUUCCGUAUGAAAACGACUACACUCUUUUAUAUGCUAAUUAACUUCUUUUAAUCUAUAUUAUUCGGAUUUGAGUGUGAGUUGUUCAUGACUUUUUAUUCAUGUGUCCAAGGUUUUAAUUAUGUGCUCUUUUUUAUUAUUAGAGAUCAUAAAUCAUGAUGUUUUGUUUGCUGUCUUUUUAUUAUUACAGUCUAGAGAUUACCCGUCAUGUAUCGAUGAUCACUGUUACGUUAUCGAAGAAGGAGCUGGAUAUGUCUUCCACCGGGUAAAUAAAACUACGUGUUUUAUUGAAAAAUAGUGAAUAUGUUGGAGGAUUCUUAGGUAACAUUAGAAUACUCAUAAAAUGCAGAUAUCAACCUCCUCUUCAGGCUGAUCAAGUGAAACCCUUAAAUGAAUACGAAGAUGAUGGAGGUAAACAAUCUUGUUAAACCAACACUCAUCACAAUAAGAAAAAGGGUGAAUUUGUUUUAGUUUUAUCUAACUACUUUCAUGUUGUUUAGCUCCUGAGCCUCCACCAAAGGCACGAGGAAGAGGACGAGGUGGUCGAGGAAGGAUUAGGGCUAAAGGUGACGCACAAGGUUUUCAAAUUUAAUAUCUCAAAGCUAUAAAUAUAUAAUCUGACUUUCUUUUUUAUUUUUAAAAAAAUAUUUCUAUUCGACAUUCGUAUUCAAUAUAUUGGUUUUUUAAUAUAAAUACGAGAAUAUAUAUGAACUCUAAAGUCGAAAUACAUGAAAAACCUGUGAUAUAUACCUGACCUUCGAGUGAUGUGCAAUGUGGUGUGUUAUAGGGGAAUAUAAUGGUGAUGGUUUAGGAGGCAAAGGUCGAGGACGUGGAAGAGGGCGUUCUUUCCGGGGUCGAGGACGAGGCGGUGCCUAUGGUGGUGGAGGAUACUAUGGCGUCUAUGCUGAAUCAGAUGCAACCCUUACCCAAGUUCGUGGUAAGUUUGUGCUUUCCAACCCUUCUUUCAACUCCUUUUUUUCCAACUGUUAUAUAAUAUUAUAUUAGAAUUAAGCCAACAUUUGUGUACUAAUAAUUUCAAACUUUUCUAGGGCGUGGCCGAGAGAGGGGAAGAGGUGGCCGUGGCCGUGGUGGAGGCGGUCGUGGUCGUUAUUCGAAGACGGAACCUGGGCCAAACCAAGCAAAAGCCGCUUGACAUCUUGUUGUUGGUAUAUGGUAUUUGAAGUUGAUAUAUGUGGAUGCCUGCUCUGCUUGUAUCUCCAUCAACCAUGAAGUCCACAAUAUUUAUGCCAUAUUACUAGCUUUGCUUGCAAGUUUUCUUUUUGGUCAUUUCAACUAGAUAAAGUCUCUUUUUACUCUUAAUUUACAUAUACCUAGAACAUUUGUACAUUUUUUUUCGACCUUUUUUUUUGUUUUUUAAAAAUAGAAAUAAUAGAGCAGCACUUUUUUCCCCCUUAAUUGCAUUUCCAUGCUAUUUGCUAAUCAGUUUGAAUAAUUUUUAAAAAAAAUUUUGGUUUGUUAAAUCUGAAUUUUCUCUAGAUUUUUCAGGAUGAAACUUUGGAGAAUUUCAAUUAAAAACUAAUUUACUUUUAAAAAAUAAAACUUAGAUUAGGAUUUGUUCACGCAAGUGAUGAUAAUGUUACCAUGAUCUAGCAGUGAAUAUCAAAAGUACCUCUAAUUAAAAAAAAAAAUCAAAACUUUUGUUUGCAUGCAAAAUGCUCACGUCCUCAACUCUUACAACUCCAUUAAGUAGUUCUCAAUUGAAAUACAAGCAUUUUAACCCUUUUUUACUAAGGCAUAUAUAUUCAUUAAAGAAAUGCAGAUUACAAAAAAACAACACCUAAACCUAGUAAAAAUAACAUUUUAAAUUUCAUUUGAUUCUGAUAAACUUUCGAAGACAAACUCUCCAUCUUUCCAUGGUUUUAUCCCUAUCUAUGCUCAAAAAGAAAUUUCAAACUUGGAAACCUACAAGGAUUAUGUAUAUAUGCAUACAUACAUCAUACAUAUAUCUGUCUUGAGAAUUUUCAUAAGCUCAACAAUGUAUACGUACAUGUAUAUGUGUAUAUUUCAGCAAAAGAUAAUGUAUAUAUACGUUUGUUUGUUGAUCCAUGGCAAGUAGAUAUAAAGAGAGUUCAUGAAGAUGAAACAGGUGUUCUCGUAUGGGGAUUCCAUGGUGAAUUGCAAAACAUCUCUCUCUCUCUCUCUCUCUCUCUCUAUACAUAUAUAUAUGUUACUCGGAAUCUCAAGACUGUAUUAGUUAUGUACUGAACUCCUACUGGUUUUGCUGCUGCAAUAUAUAUCACUUAACCUAUAAUGCGUUCUCAUCAGUUAAUAUAUAUGUAUGUAUGUAUAUCCAACAGCAUUAGAUUCUUCAUUUUCAUGUAACAAUACUAGCAGGAAAGAUAUUAAAGCACAUCUCUCCCACUCUUAAUUAUGACCUCAAUCUUUAAUGGUAUAUCAAAUCAUGUAGUAAUGAAAAAAAAAAUCCUUCAAAAUCACGAGAUUUCAUUUUCAAAAUCCUCACAUGCGAUAUUAUUAAAGGAAUGAAAUUACCAACAAGUUGAUGUUGUAGUACUAGAAAAAUAAUCCCACAUAAAAUGAGAUAAUCCAAAUGCAUGGCAACAACUGAAAGGAAAAUUAGGCAGCCAUUGCCAAACUGUAUUCAACUUUUUUCAGCUUAUAUUCAUCUAAACUUAACCUUUACUCAACAAAAUAUAGACAUUUUCCCCCCAAUUACCCAAUAAUAAGGACCGAAUUAAGCUAACUCCGUUUAACUAAAACCUGAAAGUAAAACGCAAAAGAAAUUAUUCAAAGUCAGUUAAUUAAACUUGAUGAUCAUGAUUUAUGACCCAAAACCCAGAAUAAAUCAAUGAUCAAUACCAUAAAUUAUUUCCAUAGCUAACCUUAAUAGGCUUCGUUUCCUUGUAAAUUCUGUCAAGUGACUUGUACUUUUGCUUCUUAUGAACUGGUCUCAAAAUCUCAUCUUCUUUCCCAAAAAUCUCUUCAAUCUUUGCGCAAGUUAUAUCUUCACACGAUCUUUUGCCUUGGAUCAUCUUCGUCUUAGUGGUGGUGGUGGUGCAGCUGCUGCUGUUGUUGUUGUCUUCAUCGCUCAGUUGAAUCAGCUGUUCAGCCGCUGCUGCCAUGUCGGAAUCUAACUUCGACGACGACUUUUGUGACUUGACCAAACAAGACUUUGAUUCCGACAUUGAGAAAAUCAACCCAAAGAAUCCAAAAUUAUCUUAUUUUUUAAAAUUUUCCCUCUGAUUUUUGUUUUUCUGUGUUUGGCCAAGAAUUCUCUUCUUCUUUUUGAUUACUUUGUGAACGGGUUUUUGCUUUAAAGAGAUUGGGCGUAGAGCGCGUUUUAAGGUACGUGUUGUAUAGGUUUUUAAAGGAAGGAAAAAAAAAAAAAAAAAAGGCAAGAAAGUGCAGCGUGGUUGCUAUGAAGUAGACCUGUCGCGGGUCCAACAAAAUCUUUUAUAAUUAAGGUGAUAUUUGAUCAAGUAAAAAAUAAAUACUAAAAAUUUAAAUAUUGAAUUAAAAGUUAUAAAAUUAUUUGAUAUAUUAUUUAAAAUUAAUUAUUUAAUAUAAUUAAAUUAUUUGAUAAAUAUAAAUUUUAAAUUAUAAAAAAGAUAUAUUCUAUCUUCUAUCUUUUAUCUUUAAUUUUUAAAUAUUUUAAUUUAUUUUAAAUAAAAAUUAAAUUUUAAAUAGAAAGUUUUUAGAGGGUAAUAUAAUAUUAAAAUAAAUUAAAAAUAUUUUUCAUUAAGUCAUAAGUAGCUCUUAUUUACUUAUUAUUUACUAUAUUUUUAAUAGAAAAGAAAAUUCUAAUUGACUGUUUUAUUUUAAAUUAUUAAACAUCUAUAAAAAAUUAAAUUAUUAAAAAUAUUAAUUUUUAAUUGAUUUAACUUUUUCAGUGGUAUCAAACAAACCCUAGAUAAAAUGGGUAUGAUUUGAGUUAUUAUUUAAUGAUCCUUUAAAAAUAUUUUUAUCUAAAUUUAAUUCUAAAAUAUUAAUGGUAAUAUAGUUUUUUUAAUAUUAACUGAAAUGAAAUUUGAGUUUUGAGGUUGGAUUUUGUAGAAAAGGCCUAAUAGAAAAAAAAAGUAAAAAAAGUUUCAAAAUUCGUCGUGAUAGAUCUAAUAUACAUUGCCUUUGGAAAUCUGGAAUAAAAUUAUUAGAUGUUCUAUUUUUCAAUCAAAAUCAUUCGCAUAUGAAAGAAGUUUACAAGCAAGAGUCAAAGUCGAUCCAAAGUUACAAGAGCGAAAGCUCCAAACAGGCUAAAGUUUUCAACAAGUACAACCGAACAACGAUAAUACAAAACGAUGCUCUAAAAAGACGAUAAACCUAAAGUCCGAGUUGGACACAGCAAGAGGAUCCUACACUUGAAUCAAGCAUUCAUUACUGAUUAUGAGAGGAGCUAAGGAUGAUUAAAAGCCACACAAACGAGCCAUUGUAUUGGUGGAUAGCCAUAGAAGUGAAAUGACCACCUUGAUGCGAUGAAUUCCCUUUGAAAGCCGUAACUCCCUUAUUGAUGGAGUUGUGGCCACUAAACCUAAACCAAUAGAUGUGGAACCUUGGAGAACAACAUACAAAACAUGAGUCAUCAAAGACUCGUCGAGCAAACAGUAGAUGGACAUGUUUUUUGCGCCUGAGCAAAAGACACACUUCUAGAAAGGCUGAGCAUAGAGCUAGCUAAAGAAAAGCCUUGAAUGCGGAAGGCAAAGGUCACUUCCGGGUCCAAAGUGUAUUAUUCCACAAUCAGUCCUAAUCAUGUUAGAAAAUCGACCGAUGGCCGGUUGAGGGUAUGGUGAUGGAGGCGAAAGGGGGUGGUGACCAGCUGGUCAUCGCCAAAUGAUCGGCCGCCAUGUUAGCCUUAGAGAGUUCUAAGCCUCCUAUUUGGAUCUUCCUGUUUGAGAUCUCCAACUGCAAAUUCGAAUAGUCUGCACUUUGAUUGACUAGAGAGAUGGUCGGCUAGCUUCAAGCGGCACACGGAGAUUUUCGAUCAAUUGGGUCUGAAAAGGCUCCUUCGAAUCUUCGGUAAUGGAUAGCACAAAGGGGAGGAUGGGACCAAUUGAAAGCAGCUAGGUCUAGCGAAGCUGCGGUGGCAAAGGGAUGUCGGAGGGCUUAUGGAGGAGUUAUGAUAGCUAGGGUUGGAAAAAUUAGGUAACAAAAGAAAACUUGUUUUUGUUAUGGAUAAAAAAGAAGUAAACAGAAAAAAAAAACAUUUUUUAAAAAUUUUGGAAUCGGAAUUAAAUUACAUAAUACGUAAAUAAGCGUAAAAUCUUUUAGAAUUAUGACCAAAAUGAUACUAUAUAAAUAUUAAAAACUAAUAUUAUUAUACUAAUUUUAAAGCUGUUAUGGCAUAUUUUCGUCAUUGAUUGAAAGGAUUUGAUAAAAAAG
rnacentral:lncRNA from 1 species